rnacentral:lncRNA from 1 species
AGUCCCUUCAUAAAAGGUUACAAGUUUGAAUUGUAACAAGUGUUAUGAUCUACUUUUUUUUUUUUUUUUUUUUAUCUUGUGUUAUGAUUUACAUUGACUUCUGUAACUGUAAAUACAUAAAUAGCAAUGGAAAAGUACACAUUGUGUGUCUCAUUUUACAAUUAGUAAAAGAAGCUAGUUAAUCGGAUCGGAUUGACUUAUGUAAAUGUAAAUAUCUACGUUGACUUCUGUAACUGGAAAGAAGACAUUCUGGAAGCCUAAGCCAUAACGGAGGAAAAGAUAGGAGAACCAAGACUAGAGAAGGCUUUGGCAGUCAGAACAGCUAUGCAAUUAGGAAAAGAAACACGUUGGUGGAAGAUUGAAAUGCACCGGAGGAUAUACAAAAGUUGAGGGAGUUUUUUGAUCAAUGCAAUUUCUUCUUUAUACGUAGAGAAAGAAAUCAGUUGUGUCCUGAGCUAGCAAAAUUCGCUUUGAUGUUAGUUAAUGAUGUAUAUUGGAAUACCAAUUUUCUGGGUUGGAUAAAAGAUCAAGCACGAAAGGAUUGUGAGGGCAGCUUAUUCCUUUUGUAAAGCAUGCUUAUAUUAUCAAGUUUUUUUUUUUUUUUUUUAUAUUAUCAAGUUAAACCAAUACAAAUGUCAUCGUUUUGACCAAAAAAAAAAAAAUGUAUCUCAUUUUACAACGUUGUUGUAGCUUUGUGCAAUUGUACUUUGUCUGCCAAUCUUGUCGGGUCAAUACUAGCAGUCCCAGAACCUUAACCCAUUUCCUCAAUAAAGUCUUCAUUUUUUGUCACUUGUUCUUUUGUCGGAACUCAGAAUUCAGAAUCCUCGUCCCCUCAAAUUCUCCACAUAGUAUUCCAGGGUUUAAGACUUCACCUUUCCCAUCCCCCAAUUUCUAAUUCCCUCCCCCACGCCCCCGCCCAGAAAAAAAGGAGAAAAAAAAAACACACACACACACACACAGAGGGGAGGAACACAGGGACAUGUCUGAAAUAAUGAAAACAUAUCCUACCAAUGAGUAUUUGCAUGAAAGGAAGCUCUUUUUCGGCCCAACAUUAGAGACUAGAAUGAUUUUUUCGGUUCCAAAUGAAAUAAUUCAAUCAAAGAUGAAUAGAAUAAGAUUAAUUGGCGGCGGAGGAAAUAAGGUGAAGGGCAAGGCGGCUUUAUUAGCUAAUUAUAGUGAUGAAGGGUCUGUUCAAGGUGCCCUUGACAAUUCCCCGAUUUCGAUAGAGCUAGAGCCAAUUUUGAGCGAAUCCCAGUUCGAUCGGGUCAUUGCUGAAGCUCAACAGCUUGAAGAACCAAUUUUAAUUGUAUGGUAUGCAGUUGACAUCAUAGAUUUUAUUUGUUUUUGGGUCUUGUGAUUUGAAUGAAAAAGUUGACUUUUACAUUGAGUUGGCAUUUUUUGUUGCAUGUUUUUCCCAACUUUUUUCCGUUGGAACAAUUGAACGUCUGGUCUUAGUAAAUAUCGUUUCUUGUCGAUGUAGAGGCUAACGUAGUGCAGAAGGCAAUCGGGUUGCUAAUAACUUGUUUAAGCAUUUUGUGUCCGUGAACUGGGUCAAAAAGUUAUUGGGCUAGUCUUUAUUUUUUGCUGUUAGACUAUUGCUUUUUCAUUUCUGGAUCAGUUGGAUGACUUCACUAGUUUCUAUCGUGAAGAGUCCUCAUGGUGAAUUUGAGAAUUAUAGCUGAGGCAGAUUCUAUUGAUUUUGUUGAACAAUAAUGGAAUGCAUGGACUGAUAAAGUCAGUAGUAACUCGUCAGAUUAGGAUUUGCCAGAUCACAGAGAGUGCACGUGGUGACAGUCGUAGAGUUUUGUUUAAAUUUUCUGAUUCUUUUCUUUCGUAUCUUGUGAUUUUGCAUAAUAGAUUUUGUAUCACUUUUUCCAAGAGUGCUACUUUUUUUUGAAUGUGAAAAUAAAUUGGAACUAUUGAUCCAGGAAUAUAUGGGAUUCAGAAAUAUUACCUACGACAUGUUCAUGGGAUCUAGGUAGUUGUGUCCUACAUGCGCCUAUAUUCAGGAUAUUUACGUGUUGUACAAUAUCUGUGUUUCAAAAUAACUUUUGAAGUUUGAUCUGUUCUCUGUACCUUAGUUGGUUACCACAUGUUUGGGAGGGUAAAAAUCCUAAGAAAGUUGUUUUUUCUGAUUAUUAGAAAUAAGUGCCUUUGGUGUUGUAGGGCAGGUAUAAUUAUGGUCAACAGAGAAGAGACCUCAUGUUUUACCAUCUACAGUUGGCUACCCCAGCUUGCUAGAUAGACCAAGUGAUUUAAAUAUUUGUCUUCCUAUAAAUCAGUUGGAAAUUGUGAUGCCUGCUGUUGAGUUUGUUUGUUAGGAGACCAAGCAAUCUAAUCCUUCAGUUGCCCUAGUCAGAUAUCAGCAACAGAUAUUUUUAAUAGUAGGACCACAUUUUCAAAGUCAUUUUGUUUCUAAUUUCAUACACGCUUGAUAUGUUCAUAAUGCUAAUAAAUAUGGUACAGAAGUAUAGAACAAAAUGGAAGAAGAUCAGUGCUUGAUUCAAAUAUUGCAUGAAAAGUCCUUUUAGGAAUUCAGUUGAGUUGUGUAUCGAUUUCUGCGAUGCUUUUACAUGUUUCACAUAUGCAGUUACAUGCUCACUGUCCUGUGGUAUUUUGUUUCUUACCUGAGAUUUAUGCUGAGAAUAUUAAGCUUAGAGCAUCCAGGAUUAUAUUGGUUGCAGGAUGGCAAGGUGGUGCAGAAAAUGCAUAUAUUUAAAACCGAAGUUGGAAAAGUUAGCUGCUGAGUAUAAUCCGAGGUAAUUGAUCUCAUGUACCAAAUUCUUGCAAUCCGAUCUUCAAACUCUGUUUGGUUUUGUAGGUGCUGGAUCAGGUUAAUUGGUUCUUCGCUUUCUUCUGUAUUUUAUAGAAAAGCAUUGAUGCACCUAUCCUUUUGAAGACUUAAUUUUGUUCUUCUUGGUAUCAAUUCAAUGAAAUCUUAAUUACAGCAAGGUACUUUUUUGUUCUAGGUCAAAUCCUGUGAUAGUUGGAACUGUCCAUGCUGAUUUUUCUGCACUGGCCUCUUUUAAAUAAUGUUUUUUCUGAUUGUUCUACUGCCACUAGUUGCAUUUAGCAGUGUGACAGACUGGUUAGUCUUUGUACUUAUGGUGAUGAAGGAAGAGGUGGACUUUGUUUUUUGAACGUCCCAAGCCUACUUGUUUCAUAAGCAUUACUGGUUAAUUCCUAAAUUUGGUUGCCUGUAAUGAGUUCACAAUUAUCUUGAAGUAGGAUAUCCCUCUUAGAUUAUGAAUUACAAGGGAUGCUAUUUGCAUCUCAAUAAGAUCCAUUUACCAUCAUAAGAGAUGAAAUCUUAGAACUUGCUUUUAGUUCACUGCCAGUGGCUCAUGCUUCUUUUCACAUGCUUAUCUUCACAAGUAUGAAAUGGCAUUUCCUGCUUAACUCUGAGAAAAUAACAUCCUUAUUGCAGCCUUUUCUAUGAACAAAACAAUUAUCUAAGAUUGCAGUUAUCUCUCAUUUUCUCUUUUCACCUCACUCAUCCAUCCAACCCCCUCGUCAGGGGCUCUGUCUAUAUGCCUCUGCAAUGACAAUUAUUGAUGCCUUCACUGAUGCAGAGUACGCUUUUUCCAUGUUGAUGUUAAUAAUGUUUCACACAAGCUCGUGGUUCGAGCAGGAGUUACUGUAAGUUUCCCUUUAAUGAUAAAAGUUUUUAAAUGCUGUUGACAUCUGCUUGCCUCAUCAUAUUAGCUGAAUAAUUAUACCUGUUUCUCUGCUGUAUGGAUGCAGAUUUCUACCACAAAAUGUUAUAAAACAAUCAUUUACUCUUUAAGUUGUAUAUACGAGUUCUGUGCAUAAAGUGGUAUUAUUGUUUCAAAAUGGAUAAGUUAGCCAAAUGAAACUGCUUCAUUACUAUGCAAUCUAACUGGAUGACUAAGAAUAUGCUACUCUCAUGUACUAGACUGGAGUAUUUCCAUUGUGAGUCAGUCGAAUUUUUUUAACACCCCAUUAUUCUGCGUAGGUUAGUUAAAGUUCAGACAAACGAUUCGAAUGAAAUCUAACUGGACUUAAUCUGCCUUUCAUGUAUCUGAAAUGCGGCUUCCAAACAAGAGCAGAAAAUGCCUACCAUACAGGUAACUCAGUUUAAUUACCCUGGAAAUUGUAUUGUCUUGACAGUUUCUGGCUUCAAACAUUUCUAGAAUUUUUGCAAUGUGAAUGAUUUUAAAAAAGCAUUGACAGCAGCUAUGGAAGGAUGGCCAGAAAGAAGGCGAGGUGAUUGGAGGGCACAAAGCACAUUUGGUGGUUAAUGAGAUACGUGAAAUGAUUGAAAAUGAAUACACCUUGUAAUUCAAUCCAGUCCCUGAGGGUAUGCAUUUAAACUUCAUUCAACAUUAGCCAAUCGCACAGGAAAAAGCUGCAUUCAGGUGUUUUGCUUGCCCAAUUAUAGGGAGAUCAUUGGCUUACUUUUUCCAAUGCGUCAUAGGAAGAUAAUUAAUAUACUUGUCCCCUUGUUUUUCCUAUUUGUCUUCUCCCCUCGCAAAACCUCCCUCUUUUGGGGGUAGAAGGAGGGGAGGGGGCAGGGGAGUUUGCCACUUUUCGUUCUGGUUCUGUAGCUGGCUACAUACUUACCCAUCUUAAGAAUAAUAUAGUGCCACCUUUCAGGGAAAAAAAAAAAGGAAAUAAAUAGUGCCACUCCUGUACUUACCAAGAUUAGCUGAGGAUGCACUGCAUAUAUCGGUGGCCAGGAUGUCCCAUCUUCACUGGUUUAUUCUUUCCUUUUUGAGUAUUCUCAUUUUACCUUGUUUUAUGGAACCUUCCGCUGUCUGUUAGAUUACUCACAAAAGAUUUGCUGAUAAAGAUGGAUCCAUGUGUUUAAUUCCACUCAUUACUUUCUCUAGUUGAUUUUACACACAGAAAUUUUCUAUGAUGAAUUAUUAUAACAUCAUUUAUAGUUGGAUUGCUGUAAAGCAUUGUGUCAACUGUGUAUACCUUGAAGUUUAGAACGAUAAAUUAAUAAAGUAAUGGUGAUGGAUUAUGAUAAAAAAAAAAAGAAAAAAAAGUUUCAGAAGUAAGUGUCCAUGCAACAGGGCUGGAAAAUGUAAAGAAUCAGAUCAGUAAUUCAUGCUGCUGCUAAAUAGCAAUUGAUAUGUGACAAACUGUCCAUGUUGAAUGGAUAUAUAUGCCUUUCCCAGCACGUCUGGUGCUUGGACAAUAUCUAAUAACCCCUCUUAUUUAAUUUUUCGUUUGUAAUUCAUGGUAUCUACGAAUUUUAGCAGUUGAAUCCUCUCAAAAAUCUAUAAUUCAAUAAUAAUUUCAUUAAUCUGAGAAAUUUUUUUUAUAGAAUGGUAUAUCUACAACCGAUAAUUCCUUCCUGGAGAAAAUUGAAAAAUGAAACUUGAUAAGAUUAAUUGAUACUACAUUCACUUUAUGGCUUCUUCAAACCGAGAGACAGAGCGAGAAGCAGAUAACCACAAAUGAUUUUUGCUUCUUCUCUGUCUUCCAUCCCUUUUGACUUAAAUUAACUCCUACAUAGAAAUCUAUACAAUAUAUAAAGAAGUAGAGGCAGUGGUUGGUAUAACCUUUUUUUUUUUUCAUUUUUUGAACUUUCAACUAUAUCCUUACAAAAUCUGAUUUUUACCUUAAUUACCUAAUCAUAUUUUAUUAGUUUAACUACUUAUAACUGCUUUUGCUUUUUAAGUAUUGUAACUACCAAAUUACUAUAGCCUUAUAAAUCAAAGCUCCUUAAUUAAUUUAUAUAAAUUGUAUUUAUGUGAAAAACAAAAUUCAUAUGAUACUAAUUCGUUUUAAUUGUUUUUAAAUUGCAGACACAUUGGAGGUGCACUCGAAUGUCUAAACAAAAACAAAAAAAAAAAGCACGUUUAAAAUGUGCUCUGAACAGUUAUUUAUAGUACUAAGUCGCACUUAACUGGGAGGAGGGACAUGAACGGUUGCAGGAAGCAAUGUGACCGUUCCUGAAGGUUCAUGACUAAGAUUUAGCCAAAAAAAUAAAAUGUAAAGUCCAAAUUACAUCUUGUACAUUGUUCUUCACAUCAUCUGUGAGGUUCACAAAAUUUUGUUUUAUAGUUAUACGUUAUUGAAAGUGAAUUAUAUCGUGUGUGUAUAUCUUAUGCAUUUUGCAUAAAAUUGACCCGAACGAUUUUCCUAAGUAUUCGAUUUUCCUGACAACAUUCGGGCCCUGUUCCACUUAAGUAACAUAAAGUGAUUGCGCCGUCAUGGCAAUGGCGGUCCCCAACCUCAUGCACGUAACCUAUAAAAACGCUAAUCUCAGGCACCACAUUAAUCCCAUGCAAAUUUCCAAAUUCCUCCACUCAUAUUCGUAUGAUCGUAUCUAUGAAUCCAUAUACCAACCGACCGAUAAAUGAUUCCAUAAAUUGGAAAGGUUGCCAUAAUAAGUAAAAAGAUUUCCAAUAAUUGUACACGCAAUAAAUGAAAUCCCAGAAAAAUUCCCGAGAUUCCUCCUUCAUAUCAAUGCUAACUAUCGUACACUCGUUCAAUUUUGGUGUGUGUCCGACUAUUUUUAGGUAGCAUGCUUAACCAGAAAGUCUCUGAUCUGUAAUUGCUUUUGGUUUGUUCUUGUUUUGUUUUUCUUUCUCGCUUUCUCCUCCUCUUCUUUUGUUUGGAAGAUCCCCGUUCCGUUUGAUCUUUCCGCUGGAAUUUCUCAUUUUUCUUCAACAUUCUUGCUUUCCCUGGAUUUUUGUUGUAAAUUUUGACGAGAAUGAUCAAAAAGCCUGAAUUUUCAAGAGCCAGGAGGAUUUCUUGAAAGCCCAACUGGAUGCUAUUCAAUUACUCACGGUGGUAAGUUUCUUCUUCUUUUUUAUCCAAUUAUGUCGUUUCAACCGCAUUAAUGUUGCUAGAAUGGUAAUUAAUUUAGGAUAUUCGUUUUAAAUCUUUUAAUUAUGGUUCUUCAUUAUGUUAUUAUUCUCUUUUCAUUUUUAUUUUUUUUUUGUCCUUUUUUUUGUUUAUUUUAUAUGCAUUUUAUAUUUUUGCUCCUGAUUUUGCUGGAUUGUGUUUAUCUUAAUUUUUGUGGGAAAUUCUUGUUUCUUGAUUUAGGGAUUCGUAAGAUGGCUGAUGAGGGUGGGAAAGAUGACUGCUUGCUGUCAAGUGGGAGACUAAUGAGUGAUUCUGGUGAUGAUCUAAUGUUGGGAGGAUCAAGUUGUAAUGGGGAUUUAAUGAACAAUAGUAGUAUUCUGGAAAGUGAACUUGAAUUAUUGCUGCUACAGAAAGAGCAGCAGAGGCAGCGAAAUCGCGGCUUAUUUGUUGGAAGUGCGAGGGAUUUUGACAUUCACAGGAGUGGUAGUGCUCCACCAAGUGUAGAAGGGGCCUUGAGUGCUGCUGGAAGUCUAUCCAGGAAUCCCAAUUUUGCAUCGCUUCAUAGUACUGCUUCUAAUACUGGUACUGAUAGAGUUUUGACAGAAGAAGAGAUUAGGUCUCACCCUGCAUAUUUAGCAUAUUAUUAUUCAAAUGAGAAUCUUAAUCCGAGGUUGCCUCCACCAUUGUUAUCGAAAGAAGAUUGGCGGAUUGCUCAGAGGGUUCAGGCAGCAGGGUCUUCAGUUGAUGGGACUGGGGACUUGAGGAACAACCUCUUGGUUGACGAUGGUGUCAGCUCAUUGUUGCUGUCAAUGCAGCCUAGGUUAGCUGUCAAGAAGGCGGAAGAGGAUUUGAUUGAAUUAAGAAAGGCUGCAGUUAGGAACCUUUCGCGGAAAAGCUCCACAGAAUAUCUGGAAGGGAGCUCUUCUAGUUCUGUUGGCCUAUCAAAAGCUGGAAUGGGUGCGAGAAGGAAGAGUUUUGCAGAUAUAGUUCAGGUUGUGCAGCUCGCAUGUGUUGGAAUUUGAAAUUGAGUGUGCAUUAUUCUUUCUGUCAUAGUUAUUCAUAUUGCUUUGCUUGAUUUUAAUAUCAUCAUCUUUUAGCCAUGUGCACUUAACUUCAGUUGCACUUUGCCCAUACCAUAACUGCCCCUGCCCAAUGAGUUACUGAUUGUUAUGACUACCUUCAUUGUCUUGUCUUCUUAUCAUGUUAUCAUUGACUCACACGUCAUUUACUGACAUCUUAGAAGGGAUUCAAUUGACUUAGUGUUCAUGCUUCCAUAUUUUGAAGAUUACUGUUCAUCUCCUAUGCUACAUCAUUGGCAGAACCACUUGCAAUGUUUAUUUACUUGAGACAAUUGGAAUAAUAAUCACUAGCUGCACUUAGCCGCAAUAUGCCACAUUACCCCUAAAUAACUUUUGCUCCAUAGGCAAACUCCAAUCAUUACAAAGCUUUCCAUCAGAAGAUUUGGACAAGUAAAUGAAGUUCUCACUGGUUGCUAUAAACAAUCAAGAAAUUCUACAGUGAAAAAAUUUUCCAUAACAGAUAUGACUCUGGUACAUUGAUUUCUCCACUUGGAAUCAUUUCAACAAACAGAGCUUGUAAUUCUAGAGUUUGAGCAUAAUGCUUAAAUUCUGAUUUAAGUUGUAAGCAGAUUGCUUUACUCAAUUACGUGGACCCUAUCAGCUGCAACAAUAUUAUGACAUGUGAAAAGACUGAACAAUUACAUUUUUCAUGCUUCCUUUGAUUUUGGUGUAUGUAUGGAAUAUAUCAGGGACAUACCUAACUAUAAUCAUGUUGAAACCCCAGCACUCUAAUUCUUAAGAGGAUGUAAGAAUUGUCUUUUGUUUCCUUCACUGGUACUGUGAUUUGUUUCCAAGAGAAGUUAGCAACUGUUUCUUUUACUAUAUGAAAGUUAUACUGAGGAGAUUUAUGAUAGAGAAGUCUUAAAUUUCUCCCAGUUCCCUUGAUUCUGUGUGCACUUAAAAAAAACUUCAAAAAAAAAAUCAACUCCCUUUGAUAGGGAACUCUCUCUCUCACACAUACACAAUUAUAUAUACCACUGUCUAUUUGUUCGCACACUUUGUCCAUCUAUUCAACUGAAAUGAGUGAUUUACAGGAAGGAUGUGGUCAACCUGCAACAUCCUCAGGUCGUCUUUCACGGUCUGCUAGCCGUAACUCAGUUGGUGAUAUCUUGGAUUCGAGAACUAUAUCUGAUACCUAUUCUGGAGUAUUGCAAAAUAGAGCAGAAUCUUUUGAUUCAAUGCAUCGUGGGCAACUUACUUCAGGCUUGUCCAGGGAUUUAGGCCACCCCAGUGCUUAUCCAUGUACAACAGGUGCAUCUUUGACAUCUCCUCCAGGGUUCCCUGCUGUGGGUAGCCGAGUCUCCCUUGAUGCCAAGAAAAACAUCAGGGAUCCAAAAUCACAGGACCUUUCAUCUCAUGACACUGAAAUUUAUCAUAUUUUAGCUUCUUUCCCAGGAUUAACUGUCAAUAAAGUCAGCGAGGAUGCUCCUUUAAGUUCUCCGACUCCAAAUUGUCAUCAGCUGAAUAUGCAGCAGCACUUCAUUGACAAGUCUAGAGCUGAAAAAUUGAUCCCCGCUACCAAUCAUAAUGAAUUUUCCAGGGGGAAGAUGGUAUCACAGCUAGAUUAUGGGAACUUUAAUUUAGACAGACAAGUAAAUCUUCCAAGAAGAGCCUCUUCUUUAGUCAACCUUCAGUCACUAGUAAAUUCUUCUGAGUUCACAAUGUUGGACAACCCUAAUCUCCAAUAUCCAGGUGAUAAUUUCUAUGCUGAGGACUUCUAAUGUCUUAUAUGUUGUGUAUAUCUAUCUAGUCUGGUAAUGAGCUAGCUAUCUAUAUUCAUGAUGUCUCAUAACACAAUUCCUUUUCGUUUAAGUUUGAAGUUCUUAGUUUUUUUGUUUUAUAAUUUUAGGUUCACAUUUGGGUAAUGUUACUCUGAAUGGACAAAGCUUGAGGAGGAGUGGUAAUUUGGGUCUCUCUAACAUUCAUUCCCCAGACAUACAUCAGGCUCAUUAUUCAGAGAAACAGUUGAACUAUGCUACACAUGCAGCGGCUAUGCCAAGAAAUCUGUCCCACACAAGAAAUUACACAAGCACUUCUCACCCUGAUUUGCACCAAUUAGAGAGAAUGUAUAUUGAAACAUUGCUUGCACAACAGAAUCAACAUUGUCAGUUGCCCCUCUUAUCUAAAUCUGGAAGUUUGAAUCUCCAGUACCACGGGAUCCCUACAUUUGGCCUACACAUGUCUCAUCAAGGAAACAGAAUGCCAAAUGCCGUUCAUCCUACAGUGGAAUCUGGAGGUCCUACUUUUCAAAAUGAGCAACGUUCACAGUUUACUAUUGCAUUGAAAAGUCAACUGGGGGGAGCUAGUGGGACUAGAAUAGAAGGGAAGACCAUAUCACCAUUGUUAGAAGAGCUCAAGAGCAACAAGGGCAGAUCUUUGGAACUUUCAGAUGUUCUUGAUCAUGUUGUUGAAUUCAGGUGAUUAUCGAGUCUAAUGGCUUGUUUGUUCUGUAUCAAGAUAAGUUAUCAAUACAGGUAGUUUUCUCUAGUUUCUUCUCUGAGUUCUACCCCCUUCUCUGUAAUGUAGUAUGGAUCAGUAUGGGAGUCGCUUUAUUCAGCAGAAGCUGGAAACUGCCUCUACUGAGGAUAAGAUUACAAUAUUUCCAAAGAUCAUUCCUCAUGCUCGAAGUCUGAUGACUGAUGUCUUUGGUAAUUAUGUCAUACAGAAGGUAAUUAUCUUUAUCAUCCAAUAAUUGUAAUUGAUAUUCCAGUUGUUGAUGCAAUUGUUACUUGGAUAUGCAGUUCUUUGAGCAUGGCACAGAAACUCAAAGAAAAGAGUUGGCUGAUCAACUUGUUGGUCAUGUUUUAGGCCUCAGUCUUCAAAUGUACGGUUGCAGAGUAAUUCAGAAGGUUUGUUCUUGAGCUUUUCUUAUGUCUUGAAUCUGAGUGUCAGAACUUUCAGAUAUUUUUUAAUGAUUGAAUCAUGAAAUUUGUGGUCGGGUGAUAAAACAUAUUCAUCACAACACAUUCUUCUGACAUCUAGAUAUCUGAAUAAUAUAUAUCUUCUCUGAGAAUACUUGGGGUAUGAAGCACCAUAUAUCUGGUCUCUAAACUCCACUAAUCCAAUAAAUAGCCUCCUUGAUUGAACAAGCACAGAAAUUGUUUCCAAAGUUAAGCUUUAACUGUAAAAAAAUAAAAAUAAAAAUAAAUAAGUCAAGCAACAAAGGUUUGAGAAGGAACAGAGAAAAAUGUGAACACAGGUAUAAAUUUGAUGUUUACUUCAUUGCUUUUGAAAGGGGUUUUCAGUCAGGAUGCCUAGAACACAUGCAGCUACAAUUAAUUGAUGAGGACAAAGUGAGGAUGCUAUCUGGAGGUCUGAUGCUUAUGCUACUUCUUAUUAGGAUUAAGUGGGUUCAUAUCAUACUGUGCGUUUACACUCUAUUGUUGUAUGCUUGUUCUUGCAUUACACCUCCUCAGUACUUAUCUUACAAUAUUUAUCAUCAAUGGUAGAAAAAUGUGGAUGGUGAGAGUGGAGAGUGAGUAUCUUAUGAGAGGAAGAGAGAACAAUAUUUUCCUCUACCAUUCUUGUUUCUGUCCUGGAUGUCGACCAUAGAUUGACUCACAAAAGAAAUUUUACAAUGACAGCACCACAUGACCAUUUACUAAAGGUUUAAAUUUCCACUUUCUGUAAUUGGUCUAUUCUCCCGACUGGAAAUAAUUUACGAAAACUUGGUACUUACUGAUUCAGGCCUUGGAAGUGGUUGAUGUGGAGCAGCAGACACGAAUGGUGACAGAGCUUAAUGGUUCUGUUAUGAAAUGUGUCCGUGACCAGAAUGGUAAUCAUGUAAUCCAGAAAUGUAUUGAGUGUGUCCCACAAGAUCGGAUCCAAUUUAUUAUCUCAUCCUUUUUUGGACAAGUUGUUGCCUUGUCUACCCAUCCUUAUGGUUGCCGUGUCAUUCAGGUUUGGUUUUAGCUGUUCAUCUUUCUGUCAUGAUCUUUCUUGUUCCUGCAUGCCAAUCAUGUCUGAUGUCCUGUUUUUUAUUCAGAGGGUCCUGGAACACUGCAAUGAUCCAAAUACUCAACAUUUCAUCAUGGAUGAAAUAAUGAACUCUAUAUGUACAUUAGCGCAAGACCAAUAUGGAAAUUAUGUCAUCCAGGUACUCUAUUACCUCUUUAGAUCUAUUUGUCUGUCUUGUCGCAUCAUUCCAGUUUACCAAUAUUUUAUUCUCUAUCACGCAUGUGGCUGUUUGGUCUUAAAUUUUUUCCAUAUAUCAGAUUUUAGUUCCUUGUCAUCAUAUAAUAAUUGGGGUUUUUCCUUCAAAGUACUAACCUGAACUGUAUUGUUUUGAAAUCUGGUUGUGUCUGUUUUCUUUUCUACUUUCUUUCCCCUUCACAGAUACUUUUGGUUGUCAAUCGUAAAUUCUAGCUACUGGUUUUGGUCACAGACCACAGUGGCACUGUCUGAAUCUUUUUGCUUACAAAAUCAGGGAGAAAGUUUACAGGGCUGAAAUUAGGUUACUUAAUCAUGGUCUAGAAGGCAUAGGUUGUUCUGUGUUGGAAAUAGGCUUCUUGAUUACAAGGGAAGGGCUCCAUCCCCUACCAAUUGCCAAAUACUUAAACACCUGGAGGCCAUUUGUAUUUAAAGCUCAGUAAGAGAGAAACACAUUUUGGUGUUUCUUUUGUAACUGACAAAAACUAUGGCCUACUUGUGAAAUGGUUUCAUACAAAUAUUGAGAGCUUGUGGAAUUUAGCUGACACUCUAUCUUAUACUUCCCUUUCGUUCUAUUCCUUUUCCAACUGAAUGACUUAGUUUCUUCUUUAGUCCAUCCAGAUAUUAAUGUCUACUUGCAUUAUGUUUGAACAACUCAUAAAUGCUCUGAAGAAACUCCUAAUAAGGUAGUGGCUCCACAUGUUUCUCACUUUGCCCUUAAAGUCCCAUUGAAUAAUAUGGCAGACUCUGUCACAUGUUUUGCAAUCCCUCUCUAAGGUAGUAGUAUAUACUUUUCAACACAUCUUAGUACUAGGACACAGCCGAACUACAACAUUAAAUUUAGGACACUGGAAAUGUUAAAAUUUGAAUUAGUUAUUGAACUUCUUGGGUGUUGAAGCCAAUUGGCACAUUGUUACCUAAAUUGCAAUACACUUUUUUAUUAGAAUAGUUGCUGAGUGAAACUUAUGCUUCAGUGCAAAAUGUCAUAUGUUUCAAACAAGGCUACUUAGAAGGAUGUGAUAUCGUAUUAAAUGUCAAUGCUGUACUUGGUGGAAAGCAGGAUAGCAAUUUGUUUAAUUGCUUUGUAUAGCUUUUCUGUCGGUUCCUCAAACAUUUUGCAUGAAUGAUGGUUUUUCGUUUUGCUAUUAGUAGAAAUCUUUUUUUUUUUUUUUGUAUUGAAGUAAUGUGGUGCAUUUGCUUUUCUUAUGCUCAAUGAUGUAAACUCUUCUGUUCUUUCGCCUUGCUUAGCACGUCUUGCAACAUGGGAAUCCCCGCGAACGGUCUGAAGUCAUUAGCAAGCUCGCUGGACAAAUUGUGAAGAUGAGUCAGCAGAAAUUUGCUUCCAAUGUCAUUGAGAAGUGCUUAACUUUUGGUGGUCCACAAGAGCGUAAAGUUCUGAUAGAUGAGAUGCUUGGUUCCACCGAUGAAAAUGAACCGCUGCAGGUUGAUUUUUAAAUCUUAGUCCCGCAUGCUAAGAUUCAGCUUUUAUCCUUUGGUUACUGAGCAUUUGAUUUGAUGAUUUGGCAGGCCACCUUUUGUUUUACUGACAUAUUUCUUGGUCCUUCUGUGCUUCUAUUUUGAUUUUUAGUUCUUCUUCUCUCAAGUCUUGAGAGGAGGAGGAGGAGAAAAUGAUGCCAUUUUUUCAGGUCAUUCGUUGCUAAAAACACUUUCAAUCGGUUAAUGAUGUCCUUGCAGGCUAUGAUGAAAGACCCCUUUGGAAACUAUGUUGUCCAGAAGGUCCUCGAGACUUGUGAUGAUCAAAGCCGCGGGCUAAUUGUCUCUCGUAUUAAGGUGCACUUGAAUGCGUUAAAGAAAUACACUUACGGGAAGCAUAUUGUUUCUCGUGUUGAGAAGCUCAUAGCAACUGGAGGUGAGUGAAUAUCCCGCCGCGUCUUCAGACUUUUUGGUUUAUUAGCACUUCUUUUAACAUUUUGCUGUUUUUAGUAAAAGAAUUCACCCCAUGACAUUCAACUUGAAUACAGAGAAGCAUAUGGCAGUAUCCUCUUCUUGAAUUGAAUGACAGAGAACCCCAUAUAACAAGAUGGGAUGGUGGCUCAGCCGCAGCGCCUUUUAGUUGAUUGGAACCUCUGCUACUUGUAGUUGUAGAUAGACUACACACUUCUUUUUUGCUUCCGUUGGAAUAAGACUUUCAUUUUGUCUUUUCCAUCUGUAUGUAGCCCUCUUAUAAAGUUUAUGCAUAGUUUUUAGAAAGUCAAGAAGGUGUAGUGAGAGGAAGAAUUUGUAUCGACUCUUUUCCUCAACGAGCAUAUGUAAGUAACUGGGCAAUUAUUUGUAGAGAGAUUGACUGUACAUGAUCGCUUUUCAAUGAUGGAAAAAGCUUGGUAAAAAUGGCUAUCAUGCACUUUGAUGCAUUGGAACUCCUUAUGCUUAUUAUGCAUCAUGACCGUUGGGAACUCCUUAUGCACUUUGAUCCAACAUUUUUGUUUUUAUUUUUUUGUAAGUAAGAUUCGAACCAUAAUCUCUCACUUAUGCUCACACCUUCCGAACUACUCAACUCAUCCGUCCGCUCAACAGUACCUAAGUUAAAUAACAUCAGAUUCUCCACUUUUCCCCCUUAUUUUGGGGUGGUAUCCAUGGUUUAAUAUGCUGCCCUGCAGAAAUACUUGGCAGGCAUUCUUGCAUAUCGUGCCUCCGAUUCAGAAAAUGAGUGAAACCAAGUACAACAAAGAGACAAUACAUAAUUUGCCAAAGUAUCCCAAUUCUAGCUUUUUUUUUUUAAAAUCUAGCAAAGCGGUGGCAAAUUCUAAGCCCUGAUACAGUAAUUAUGCAUGGAUAUAAUUGCCAAAUAGCAUUCGUGCUGUGCUCGCACAAAAAGUUAAAAUUCUCCUCAUAAAUCUUUAAACUAUGUACAAAAGAAUAGAGCCUCAGAAAAAGAAGGGGUUUAAAUUCCUACUACAUAUAUAUACAGUAGAAACCUAUGUACAAAAGAAUGUGAAGUGAACAACGCUCAUCAGAUCAACUGCGUCUUGCAUGGAAAUUAUCCCGGACAUCAACCUCCUAGCAACGCUAAACAACCAGUGUUCUACAUUGAACAACUUUUAACCGCCAGGCCACCACCAUCUCUUCUUUUUCUUGUUUUCUAGUUCAGGAAAUUCUGCAAAUCACAGACAUUAGUAGGCACAGCAUUUCAGUCUGAAACUUAAACCAAAUAUCUUUUCCAAUUAAUAUAGACAAACUGUUACCUUCUAGGUUAAAAUGUGAACAUUUAGGCGUCUGAUGGAAAAGAGUAAGCAUAUAUAAGUUCAACUUCAAGACGGUAAGAAAUGCUUGAAAACAACAAUUGCUUGAUUAUAUCGUCUAUCAAAAACGCCCAAUUAAAGCAAUCAUCCCAUCAACAGCCAUCUUCCAAACUACCUAUCCCUCCAUCACUAGCCUAUUAUCGUUUUUUUAAUCUCCCAAAAGCAUCAAGACUUGAUCUUUGCUAAAAUCUUAACAAACAGUUGGAUUAACCAUUCUAAUUGACCUGGGUAAAGAGUGUUGAGCUAAAUCCAAAGAAAUUUUCUUGUCUUCAUGCACUCACGUAUGUUAAAACAUGCAACAAUUAGAAAGGAAAAGCAAAGAUACUGUAUACAAAUUAAAUGGAUAAACUCACUGCUAAUGGGAGAUGCAAGGGUUCCUAAAUUCAGCAAUAAAGGACCUUGAUGAGCCAGAGUAUACAGAGUAUUGUGUUGAAUUGGAAGAAAAAAUAUAAAAGACAAAAAGAAAGAGAAGCGGAUUAACGUUCUUACCUCCAUGAGGAUAUAUGGAGUUAUAGUGCACUUCUGCCCAGAAGCUCAAAGUUAUUACUGCAGGAAACAUUAUAACAAUAAGGAUCAACAGAAGUUAUCUUAAACUCGGUACUCUUCAACUGAUUAUCAAUCUCUCACUUUUAGCACACAGAUGUAACAUAUAAAAGAUAAAAAGGGUCCUUGCAGAGGAGGAAAUUCCAGAUUGACAUUUCCAAAGCAUGUAAAACAAACACGUCAAAGGACAACAGAUGUCAUUUAAGACAAUAAGAAAGCUGAAAGUGAGAACCAGAGAAAGCUUUAUCCAGCCAAACGGAUGGCUAAGUGAUCCAGGAAACUCCAAUUAAAAUUCAAAACCAAGAAUAUAUUCGACACAUAGCGGACUUACAUUAUACAUUCCAUUCUUCACCAAUACAUUGAAGAACAAUUUCUCGGGGAUUCAACACUUCUAAAAUGGGGAAUCGCAUGAGAAUCAGGUAAACCAACUCUCCUUAGGCGAGUUGGCCACCAGGCAAAGUAUAGAUUUGCAGUCUGGAUACAGGUUGCAGGUUCAAACCCUUGCAUCCACAGUUAAAUCCAAAGGGUGUGCAGCAGUGCACCCCUUUGGUCUAGAGGUGGGUUUCUCUCCCUCUAGCCCCCCAUGGCCCAAUUGGGCCCUCCCCUAGUAUAGGUUAGAGUAGGAAUAGUGUGUAGCUGUUGCCAAUUGACCCAAAGGGAAAAAAACAACAAUUUCAUCAUUCUGCACUACUCUGCUCAAAAGCAGCACCAAUUACUAAAAGCCAUGAGACCUUCUUGACUAAAUAUGUUUCCCAUCACAAGAGCGAGUCCUAUUGCGAAAUUCAGGUUUUCAGCUUCUAGCUUUUAUUGCAUCUAUUUUUUGCAACACUAAAUAAUUUACUCCAGUGCAACCUUGAGUUACAAAAAUAAUGUAGUGCAUACUCUCCUAAUGUCAUGUUUCACAAGUUUCUUGGUUACAAUUCAUCCUUGCAAUUUAAAAUUAUUAACAACGGGAUUCAAUUCAGUAGCCAUUUUAAGAUCAUAAAAUUCAAAAAGUAUGUGGGUUAAUAAGAGUUUCUGUUGGAUUAGCUUUGUUCUGAACUCUCCUUGCUUUACAUAGAAAGGCAAUCUCAAAUUAAGGUACUGCUGAAGCUAGGUCAGGUCAUCUGACAAAUCUUAGUUACUUGUUUUAGAAAAUUGUACCUGCUCUUAAGUUUCAUGAUCCGGAAAAAUAAACUUGUACAUCAAAUGAUAGAAAAUACUUACUUCUGUCUGACUUCUGUAUUUGAGGAAGAAUCUCAAUAUAGCAUGUGUCCUUGAAGGACGUUAUCACAAAAAUCCUCACACCAUACUGUAUAAGAUGACAAGCAUUAGUCACGAUGAAUGCAAAGUCACAUUCAAAGAAUGACGACACAUCCUAAAAAAGGCAAGGAAUAUUGGUGAGAAUUUAUCUAUGCAAAUUUUAAGCCCCUAACUUGCAGCUAAUUAAUGUGUGCCAAAUGCAGGUUCAGCAAUUCAAGGAAAAUUUAUUAUAGAAAUCUGACUGAAAAGACCUGCUUAUAGAUAUGCUACCCUUUUUGUGGAUAUAGAAACCAUCUUCUACUCCAUUUUGCAGAAAAAUGAAAGAAGACUAAACCAAAACAAGCUCAGACAGAGGAAAAGUGAGGCCCUUUACCGAAUCUGCUGCUGCCUGCAGUGUGACAUGAUCACCCCAUUCGCCAGUCCUGUAAGGUUAAACUAGUUAUCAAUAGGAAAUAAACACAUAACAGGGAAAUAGUCUAAAACACACCAUGGAAGAGAAGACAACAGAAGCGAGAUGAAUACUUGGUUAUUCUUUUCAAGUAGUCAUCAUAGGCCAUGGGAACAUAACCUUCAUACAACUCUGGAUGAGAUUGAAGCUGAUCAAAUUGACAAAAAGGAAUUAUUAGCAUCCAAUAGAACACAAAUCUAUGACUAGAAUUAAACAUGCUGAUUUCCUAUAAGGAUAAUAAGUCAUUCUAAAAAUUUAACAGUAUACAACCUGGGUGACAAUUUGCUGUCUAACAAACUUGUGAUGCUCAGGAGUACGAUAUAUUUGAUCCGACAAGGAGCGGAACUACAGGGAAACCAAUAGAUGUGAAAGUCAUUGAUCAUAACACGACGACACUAAAACAAAAAUCUGAAUCAAGAUAUAAGACUCACUUCGAUAAAGUAUACUAACACCCAAAAAGAAGAGAGAGAACACACAACAUCAAAUAAAACAACUCAUCUAUCCACGAGCCAAAGCCAUAUGAACUCAGAGACGCAAUAAGACAUUCUUACUAAAAGGGAAAACUUGAUCUAGUGAAAAACAGCACAGACUUGACGUAGUGUGAUAGCUAAGCUUUUAAGCAAGAACCUAUGUUCCACAAAGUGCGGGAUUUGGGGGAAGGGGUAGGACACAAGUUGCAAUUUUACACUACAGAGACAUUUACCAUAAAACCACAAAGAAACCAUGUAAAUAGCACCUUAAAUACCUUAUCAGACCACAGUAGACAGUUGCUUUAGCAUACACUCCCAAGUAGGUAGGGAAAUGACAUCAGCACUGGAGUUUUUCUUUUCUGAACCUUUGUUGCAUGCAACUUGAGAGGUGAAAUCCAGAAUGAUAACAAAGAAGGGACUCAUAAAAUACUUAUUUUAGUUGGUAAGACCAAAAUACAUCCUUUCUCAAAUUAUUUGAGUCUCAAAAAUCUUAAAGACCUAUAAAUUACCAAAAGUAAUUAACAUAUUCCUAGGAAGGCAAUAUAAUUACUUCAAUAUAGAAAAGUGAUUGUUCAACCCUCAGAGAGAUGCCAUCAAUGUAAUCCAAACAAACAAUUAUGCAAUUAUCAGGAUAUGUGCCCACUAGAUGCAUAAAGCAUAAUCAAGAAACUAUGACACUUCUGUCAAAGAUAUCAUUGAAGUGAAGUUGAAGUUAUAUAAUUUGACAAUAAAACUCAGCCCUUAUAACACAUAGGUAAUACUAUUGCAUGGGAAUGUCAAAAAACCAACCUGGCAAUUGCCAUCUCCUGAUACUUUUAGCUCGACCAAGUCAUACAACUGCAAUCUGAAAACCAUUAAAAAAAAUUCCAGCAAAUAAGCAUGGCAAGAGUGAGAGCAGAUUAUUUAAAGUCAAAAGGCUUAGGUUAAUAUUGAGCAAAUGUCAGAGAGAGCUUUUUUCCCAUUAAAUCCGUUCAGAAAUGCAUGCAGAUUGUAAUAUAUUUAUUUUAAGAUAAAGUAAAAAUAGAUCUGGCUCACAACAAAUUAAUUACAUUGAUUCCUGAAAGACAAUAAACUAUGCUUGCCCUGAUUAUACUAAGCAAUUACUGGUUUUACAGCCAAGAUAACACAAUGGCCAACAAAUCUAUAGAAGAAGAGGAAAGGAAAGGCACUCCUAAACUUGCCCAGAUGAUAUUUUAAUUUUUAUCUGGGCAUGGAAAUUUCACUUCCACCUAAGAAGAAGAAAUAAUGAGAAUCAUAAGCAAGAUGGAGCAGCAGCCUUAGCCCUACACAGCAUACAAACAGAUAAUCACAGAAAAUAUAGGUGGACACGUAGGUGGACAUGUCCCAUGCUAACACUAUAGCAAACUUUUCAGGACAAACGUAGGCAAUAAAAAUCAUGCGGACAAAAUCCCUAUAAACAGCUAUAGGUUACAUCCUAGAAUCAUGGUAUCUUGUGUUUGAAGAAAGACAUUUUUAGAAAAAAGAUUUGUGAAAACAGUCCACAAAACUUCAGAGCAACCAGAGCUACAAAAAACAAGAGGCUAGUGAACUAAACAAGUGCUGUAAAAAAACCUGUCUAGCAAUCUUUGAUGAUCAGAGGUAGCUUCAUCAACUGAAGGUAUUUCUCCAUUAAUUCUAGGCACAUGCUGCAAGCAGUGAUGACAAAAGAACAUCAGUUACAAUCCAAAAACAAACUCUGUCAUUUUUAUGUCCCCUGGCACAAUGAUAUUCUGUUUUCCAUUUGUUUACAAUAACCACCACAUCAUUCAUAAUCCAUAAAAUGGGACAUCUCUGUAGUGUAAUGUACAAAAAGAGGAGUACAUACAGGGACGGAGAACAUCUGAUUCAACCUCCUGCCAACUUCUCCAUCAAGAGCAGAUUCAUCUUCUAUCUCUGGGGAACCUGGUUGGUCCUCUGCAUUAACAACAGCUCGUCCUGGGCUGGGGCAUAAUUUAAACAUUCCUGCUUCAUCAGGAUCGUCCUGAUUGCUUUGACAUUCUACAAUUCAUAUACUUGUUUCAUCAAAGUAAUUCAACAGAGUAGAUUGACCAAUUAACAGAAUUUCUGCUCUUCCCAUACCAGAAUUGCAGUGUCUUCUUGAAGAACCAAACCAAUCCUGUGAAAGAACUGAGAUUUGCUGAUGCUCUUCCUCAGCAUGUGAAGAUCCUGAUGUUUCAGCUGCUGCAAGUCGUGAUAGUUCUUCUUGAUAAGCAUGAGCAAUUAUCUCGUCAUUGUACACAUUUGCUUGCAUGGGCUCACAGUAUCCUUCAUCUACAUAUGCAACUUCAGACAAGUCCUUAUCGUAUUCAGUAACAGUAUUGGGACAGCCACUAUCAUUCGGUAUACAGACAUCUAGAUGAUGUAGACCCCACCGAAUGACAUCAGGGUCAUACUCAUAGAUUGCCAUCUUACUGUCCGUAUGCCACAGAUCCCUGUUCCAAACAACAAACAUUUAUUCCAUUAAUUAGUCCCAUGUGAGAAUGUCGUGUUCAUCACAUUAAUUGGCAAGCAUUCCAUGAUACAAGUGAUUCUUCUAGCAUUAACUUCUAGGCUAUUUCAAACAUAAUAAUUUCUCUCAACCAGACCAUAGAAAAACCACUAAUUUGCAAUAUAGAUCAUGGAAAAAAGUUUUUCUUCAUAGGCUUCAGCUUAGUUAAUUUUGAUCAGCUCCCCAAAAACAUGAUAUAGUGGCCUAAAUUAUGUAUACUUAAAUGUGUAAUAGUUCCAACCAUGCAUGAAGCGAAUUAAUCACAAAGCUAAAUAUAGCAAGCAUAUGAAGUAAAUUAUUAGGAUACCAAGCAAUACACUGAGAAAAAUGGGGGGAAAAGUCAUUGGCUUAUUUCAGAUAGCAUUACAACAGUACGAAUCUGUCAAUGUUUUAUUCCUUAUGAGCUGAACAACAUAAACCGGACAAAACUUAUAGACACCAAAACCAGAAAAGCAAACUUCUAUCUAGAGUCCAUAAAAUAAUUUAAACUAGUUUUAAUGUCCAACGAAGAACUUCAAAUUCUUUGACAAGCACCUUAUAAAUAGUGCCUAAGCUGAAUCACAAUUCUUAUAGCCGGAGGCAAGAUUCCCUGUUUUCAUUAAUCUUCAAACUUAUGAGUUGCCUAUACUCAAAUAUCCAGUAAAUGAGUAUAGAAAUGUCCAAUUGACCACGUAGCAAAAUCCAAUCCUACAACAUUUUGCAAAAGAACAUAUAGAUAAUAAUGUAUUCUCAAGAUAGUUGUAUCGCAUUGAGCGCUACAUCCCCAAAAACCAAUAUGAAAACAAAUAAAACAAAAUCCAACUCUGACGUUGUCUGCAACUAUAGAAUUUAACAAUCUAGGGGCAUGGGGGCUGCAGAAGCUAUGAUUAUAAUCCAAUCCUGGCACCACUUGGGUCGACGCUUGCCCUCAUCUUGACAAUUCAAACUAGAACAUGAUAAAAAUCCAAAAACCUGGAAAACUUCCCUACUCUUACAAUCCAAGAUCCCUUUUUCAGCUUAUUGAAAUCCCAGCACACGCACAAAAUGCAAAAAGCCUUGGGAGGGCAAAAGAAAAAAAAAAACCUUAGCAAGAUCUUCUUUUUAGCUUUAGAAAUCCCUGCUAAUCUUCUUUCCUUAACCUAAAUUUCAUUAUUUUCCUUUCCUCUACAAAUUACAAUUCCACAAAAGCAUAUCAGUUGCAUCCAAUUAAGCUUCCCGAUUAAUUUAAAAAAAAAAAAAGAAAGAAAGAAAGAAAAGCUGGUUUAUCAUCACAAACCAUUAAAUAAAAUUACUCAAAAAAAAAGUAGCAAAUCCAACCAUGGCAACAAUCAAAUCUUCAGGAUAUUCAUAUUCGACAGUUAAUCUAGACCACAAGAAGCUUAAGGAAUUUUACUAGUACAAGCAUCUCUAGCAAACUUAGACACCCAGAAACCUAGAACAGAAAAACCUUCCCAAAUUCAAAAUCAUUACAUCCAAUAACAUAUUAAAUAUAAAAAAAAUUCAUUAUCACCUAAAAAAAAAAGAUCAAGAUGCAAACCUCAAAAAGUUAGAAAAAUCGAUUGGCCCGUUCAGACCUCAAAAUCCUCCUUAUAUGAUUGACUUAUCUUUGCCGGAGCGAAAUUUGUGAAUAUUCAAUAUUUGAGUUUGACUACUUUAAUACGCAGAUAGGAUUUGAUUUGGCAUUGAAUGGGAUUCGAAAAAAAGGAGCAGACGCCGCCGCUUUCAUAAAAAGAGCAGCAGUAGCCACGAAUUGAAAAAUGGUCUACGAAUGGGACUGAUUUAGGCGGAAAGGCGGCCAGGGAUUAGACUUUCGCCGUCUGUCUAGGCACUGAUGAGUCCGGAAAAAUCAGUUAUUGUGGGGUCCACUUAUACCUGUUUCCGGUAGGAGGCUUUUGUUUUUUCGACCUACUUUAUUGUUUUUCGCGAGUCGGACACGUGUCGGUAUCAAAAGCUUCUUUUGGGGCAGUUGGUGUCACGUGUAUGCUGGGGUUUGGUCGGCCGCCUUUGUUAUGUAACCUUUUUUGCUUUCUUCUUUUUUAUAUUUAUGGGAAGGGAAAAUAGAAUAGAAAAAAGAAAGGGGUGGACAUUUUAAAAUUCAAGGACCCCAUCAAUGCUCCUAAGAUGAGUGUCAAGUAAACUCUUAUGACAAGUUUAGAAUCUUUCUAUUCACCACAAAGCAAAUAUGAGUAUUUUGUAAUAUUCUUGUGAUUUAAGAAUCAUGGACAUGUUUGAAACCAAGUUUUUUAGCUAUUAAUUUUUUAAUAACUUUAGUUACAGGAAUCCAAAAAAAACUUAUCAAAUUUUUUAACCUACACACUUCAAAAUAUCUAAUACAUAAAAAACUUUCUCUUUUCUUCUUUUUUCUUCCCCACCCCGAUCCACCGCACCUUUAUCGCCGGCCACCACCUCCGCCGCUGCUUCCGACGCCGGCAUUCCUUCUUCUUUUUUUUUCCUUUCUCCCUUUCCCUCUCCCCCUCCGCCUUUGACCGAUCUAAACUGCGUAUUCAAAGUCGAGGUAGACGCAUUCAAAAUCCAAAAAGAAAACAUAGACAAAACGGAAUCACUUUCUUCAGUGACAUAUCUAUGCCAGAAAAAUAGUGCUUAUUCAAAUGUCCCGGGAUCAAGGACAUCAAGACACCAAAAUUUUUGCCCCUCUUCAUCUCACAGCCCCAGCCCAAGCUCCUCCAGCAAUGCCUCUCUUUUCUUUUCUUUUUCUCUCUCUCUCCCCCUCUACUUCCCUCCCCUCUCCCCCUCUCCUCCCCAGCCACCCUCUCCCUUCCCCCAGUCGCGGUACCAGAUCGCAACACGACCACAUUAGGCAAAGGAGAAGGGGGAAGGGGAGGAGAGUAGGAAAGGGGACAAGGGGGGACAGAAAAAGCAAAAAAAAAAAAAAAAAAAAAAAAAAACCAUGGCUACUAGUUCUCUGGCUUCGGGAGAGGAGUAGAGGGGGAGAGGAGAGCAGAGAGGGAGAGGGAGAAGAGGGGAAGAGAAAAGGAAAAAAAAUUAGCUUAACCAUGGCUACUGAGUCUUCAAAGCUGGAGGGAGAGGUGGCGAGGGAGGGAAGGGGAGGGGGAAGGAAGAAGAAGAAGAAGAAGAGAGGAAAGAAAAGAAAAAAAAAUUGGACCAUCUGCUGGUUCUUCAAAGCUGGCGGCAGAGGUGACGGGGGAGGGGGAAGGAAGAAAAAGAAGAAGAAAAAAGGAAAGAAAGGAAAAAAAGAAAGAAAGAAAAAAAGAAAAGGAAAAAAAAGUUUUUCAUCUCAAAAUUUUUUUUCAAAAAACUUCUACAGUACGCUACAGUAAAAUUUUAAACAAAUUUCCAAAAAACUCAGGUUCCAAACGGGGCCCAUAUUUAUGUUUUGGAAUAAUCGUAUGCCAAAGCCAAAUUUUAUCUAAUUUUGUUAGAGUAAAAAAUCUCAACGGCCACUAAACUAUUGGUCAGAUCAUGUUUUGACCAUCAAACUAUUUUUCGUCAGUAAUUGACCACUAAACAACUUAAUCAGUAAACUCGUGACCAUUUAGUCGAUAAUUGCUUUUAAUCUGUAAAAUUAGCAAUUAAUCUGUGAAAUAGGGUCGCGUAAUUGUUGGACAAAAUUACCUGGCACUUUGCCACGUGUACAGCUAAUUUCAUAGAUUAAGAGCAAUUAUCGACUAAAUGGUAACGGAUUUACUGAUUAAGUUGUUUAGUGGCUAAUUACUGACGAAAAAUAGUUUGAUGGUCAAAAUAUGAUCUGACCAAUAGUUUAGUGACCACUAAGGUUUUUUGUCCAUUUUGUUAUGUAUGGAUAUUUAGCUACAUAUGGAUAGAGUUGAAAGAUGAAUUGAGAUAUUUGAUACUUAAAUCAAAUUUGACUUAAUAAGAAUUCAUUUGAAUUUCAUAGUUAAAUUGGAACAGCGUUUUAUGUUAAAUAACUUUUAAGUUUGACAAAAAAUUUGUUUAAAUUCGAUAUGACAAAUAAAUAAAUAAAAUUUUAAACUUGUUAAAAUAAUUAAACAGAUUUAAGCAGUUUUAGUAAAACGUUUGAUUUGAUUAAAAUCAUUUGUACCCUAAACAUGACUUAAUCAUAAGCGCGUUUGCUAUCCUUUUUUCAAAAUCAAAACUUUGCGUUACUAAAGUACCCACCUAAAGUGGCUUAAAAUGUAUUCCUAAUUUUGGCUUCUCAAUUGGUGUCUGCCAAAUCAAAUAAUAGAAGUGGGACUCCUCGAUUUUAUGAUCUAUUAAGUGGACGAAGCUCAUAUGGGAAUUCUUGCCAUUUUCUUCUGGCAGAAGAAUCAUUCUCAUAGCACAACACGUCUCUAACAAAAAAUUUUUUUUUUUUUUUUUAAAAAAAAGAUAACCCGAAGAUGCCGAAGAGGAUGGAGGAUAUUUGGGCUCAAACAGGGAAAGAGGAUUAAUUUUUGGGCUCUACGAGCUGACCUUUUAUUGGGGCUUUAAACAACGAUAAAAAUAUAUUGUCCCAUUAGUACAGCCCAAAAUAAAAUACUUUUCCCAAAAAGCCCGUUACUCCACCUGCAAAACUUGCAGUCACUUCUCCAUCUUCUUCCUCUUCUUCAUCUUCACUAGGGCUUACAAACUCAAGAAAGGAAAUAGCAGCAACAAAAAUGGCCUCAACAUUUAUGCAACAAUUUACGAGGAAGUCGAAAACCGUAGCUAAGCGAUCGACAAAGAAGUACUUAGAGGAAGCGCUUUACAGAAAGCUCCUGAAAGGCGGGAGCGAAGAAGAAAGCGUGAGGCAACAGCUGAACGAGUUCUUGAAAUCCCAUAAGUCCGCAUAUAAAUGGGAGGCGGAUCAUUCCCUCAAGCUCCUCCGACAACGCAAGCUCUAUGGCCCUGCCCUCAAGGUCUCUUCCUUCGUUUCCUUAAGCCCUAUACCCUGUAACUCCGCUUCUGUAAAAUGAUUCUUCUAUGCAUCCUUGAUUUGGAGGAUAUAAGAAAUGGUUGCAGGAAAUUUUUUUUUUUUUGUGAGUUGCAUUGCAUUUCUUGUAUGUGGGUUCUCUCAGUGUCGGUUUAAUUCUCAUUUGGGUCAGUAAAAGUAGGGAACUUUAGGAUCAAUUGGUGAUGGUGAUUAUGACAGUUGGGAUUAGGUGUAGUAAGAAGGCAGUUAUUUUACUUUUCCUUGGAGUAUAUGCCGUUGAAUAAAUGCUAGAUAUGUUGGUUGAGAAAAAGUUAUCAUUUUUGUUGGGCAUUGCUUUGUAGGUUUUAUAUUGAAGAACAAAUUUUUAAUUGGUAAAAGAGAGAGGGGGAAAUUGUUUUGGCAUUUUUUGGUUGAUAGGUUUUCAAACACAACUGUGGAAUUACUCAUUAGGAAAUGUAAGGCUGGUGCUCGGAUAGUCUGGUUAUAGGUUCUGAAUUAGCUACACAUCAAAUUUCCCGUCUUGUUGCAGCGCCUACUCUGCUACAUCUUCCUCCAAUUGUUGCCAUGGAAACAUAAAAAGCUGGUCUCAGCUUUUAACCUUCAUGCAAAAGGGGGUAAACAAUCUUUCAGGCUCAGACUUCCAGUGUGGUUAUCAGCUAGGCCCGACUAUCAUAUAUUUCAUGGUAUCAAUAGCCCGUUUUCUUGGGAGUUGCGUUUAACAAUGUUGCUUCUUGUACUAGGAAGUGCAGCCAAUGGAAAAGAAAACGAAUUAGUGUUCCUGCAAGCCUGUGUCCCAAGGUUUGUCAAGGACAAUUCAUUUGUAUUAAGAUGUAGUGUGCAAUUGGUCAUGGGCACGAUCAAGCAUAAGUCUUCAUCUUUAAUACCAUAGUACUUGCUGUUUAACUUGGUUGAUUACUGCUGAAGUAAUCUUCCCUGUUCUCUUGAACUUAGUGAUUGUCCAUGUUUUAUGUACUGAAAAUUUUUCCUCAAUGCUUUCUGAUAUACAGCUGUCAGAAAGUAUGACAAAGAGGGGAAUGAACAAGACGGUUAGUGAUCAAGCUAUACAUAUCGAUCUUAUUGCAAAAGUUAGAGGGAUUGCAUCAGCAGAAACAUACUUCAUCAAUUUGCCUGAAGCAUCAAAGAAUCAUUUAACUUAUGGUGCUCUUUUGAACUGUUACUGUAAAGCCUUGAUGAUUGACAAAGCAGAGGCUCUAAUGGAUAAGAUGAAGGAACUUAAUUUAUCAUUAACCUCAAUGCCCUAUAACAGCUUGAUGACCCUGUACACAAAAAUUGGGCAGCCUGAGAAAAUCCCAUCCAUAAUCCAAGAGAUGAAAGCUAGUGACAUUUUGCCUGAUUCUUAUACCUAUAAUGUCUGGAUGAGGGCUCUUGCUGCUGAAAAUGAUAUUACUGGGGUGGAGAGGGUCAUUGACGAGAUGAAGAGGGAUGGUCGAGUCUCUGGAGAUUGGACAACAUAUAGCAACCUGGCAUCAAUUUACGCUGAUGCAGGCUUGUUUGAUAAAGCAGAGAAGGCACUCAAAGAAUUGGAGAAGAAAAAUGCUCGCCGAGAUCUUUCUGCAUACCAGUUCUUGAUCACAUUAUACGGCCGCACUGGAAAUCUGCUCGAAGUUUAUCGUGUGUGGCGGUCUUUAAGGCUGGCUUUUCCUAAGACAGCAAAUAUAAGCUAUCUGAAUAUGAUUCAAGUGUUGGUUAACCUCAAUGAUUUACCAGGUGCUGAAAAAUGUUUCAGGGAGUGGGAAUCUGGCCACCCAGCUUAUGAUAUUCGUAUUGCAAACGUCCUUAUAGGAGCUUAUGCUAAACAAGGUUCAUUGAAGAAGGCUGAAGAGCUAAAGGAACGAGCCAGGAGGAGUGGGGCCAAGGCUAAUGCUAAAACUUGGGAGAUUUUCCUUGAUUACUAUCUCAGAAAUGGGGAGAUCAAACCAGCCGUAGAGUGUGUCGAGAAUGCAAUUAUAACUGGUAGAGGAGAUGGUUCUAAGUGGAUCCCAUCCUCCACAGUUGUAAGAGAACUUAUGGAACAUUUUGAGAAAAAGAAGGAUGUUGAAGGUGCGGAAGGUUUUGUGGAGAUUUUGAAGAAGGCUGUGGAUGAAUUGGGUGUUGAUGUGUUCGAAUCAUUGCUUAGGACAUAUGCAGCUGCUGGAAGAACUAGUCCUAUCAUGCGCCGGCGGAUCAAGAUGGAGAAUGUGGAAUUAAGUGAGCAAGGUAGGAAGCUGCUAGAUGGCAUCUCUGUGGAGUGACAGCUUUCACGUAUAAUUUUCUCAUAGAAUGUUACCUGAAGAGGUGAGGGAAAGGAUUUGCAUUUCAACUUCUUAUCAAAUAGCUGAUGUCUAAGAUGUCAGCUUAGAUGCUGAUUUUUUGGAGGAGGACAUUUGUAGGACUUCUUUCCUUGGGCACUGGGGCCUCUGGAUGCUUAGAGAAUUCUUGGAAACUUUAUGGAGCUACAGAACAGCAAUUCAGUGACAUAAAAUAAACAGCUUUUGGCGAUGUAUUUUUGGUAGCUACAUCUGUAUUGACAUCUGAAGGUUCUGCCCAGUUGAAAUGGCCUUCAGAAGGAAAAUGGAAACAUGUUUCGAACGAACACAAUUACUUUAACAUGGAUUUAUUUUGGGGAUUCAUCUCAUUUUUUCUCUUUACUGUCGUUCUUUUCUCCUCCUCCUCGCUUGGGAGGAGGGUGGGUGGAACACUGGUAUAGGGGGGAUGCACAGGAUGAAGAUAUUGAAUCUUGUGAUUCCUAAUGUAUCUUGAUUGCCCCCUUAAUAGCUCAAGCAUGUACUUUUGAAUUUUGAUAGACGUGUUGAUUGUCUGGAUUUUCAGGUUUUACCUCUGUGCUCUGGAUUGGAUGAGAAAGAUCCCAGUAAGGAUUUGCUGAGGGUAUCAGAGAGUUUUAUUUCUGAUUUUUGUUCUUUUACUCGGAUAAAAGGGAGACAUAUUAACAGUUAAAAGAUGAGGGCGCAAGUGGAGCUUUUAAUAGAUGAAGCUAAAUUGCACUUAGAAAAGAAGCUGCUGACUUGAUGAGCUUCAUCUAAUUGAAGAGAAAAUCUGCUCUAGUUUUUCUUUUUUUUUUUUACCUUCAAGUAGCCUUCACAAGCUUAGGUUUCCAUGUUCUCCAAAGCAACCAUUUAUUUUCUCCAGUUACAUUGUCCACAAAUCUUCUCUUUGGUCCUUGUACCUUGGAUUUUUCUUCAAAAUGUUUCACACUUGAACUAAUGGGACCUUGAGGACUUCCAAUCACACUACUUUCUUCCACGAUCUUGUUUACGAUUUCCAGAACUUCACUCAUUCUCGGACGAUGUUUGGGAUGCCUUACUAAACAUUUGUUGGCUGUAGCGGCUAGCUUUUGCGCAGACUUCAAAGAAUAUUUCCCAUCUAGCCGAGGAUCCAAAAUCUGCUCAAACUUUUUAAUGUCUGCGAGAUGUGGCCUGACCCAUUCCAGCAGUUUCUGCUCAUUUUUGGGUCGGUUUCUGUCCAAAGGACGUCUGCCAGUGAUAAGUUCGUAGAGAAAGACUCCAUAAGCCCACACAUCACUCUUGGAUGUAAGACGCCCCGUUUGAAUAUACUCCGGAGCAGCAUAUCCAACGGUACCCACUACCUGUGGUUUCCAAAACAAGUAAACAUCACAAUGCAUGGGAUAAAAUGCGAAAUACUUGAGCUCAUAUUCAAGAACUUGUACUUAAAAGAGUCAGAAGAUGGAUAGAGCAAUUGAUCCCUUUUUUAUGGGUUUUAUUCUGGAAUUAAGUAUUAGUAUAUGACUACCAGGCAGAGGAGGGAAUUGGGGUGGCUUGUGCAGCUCUUGUUACAUUCAUACACUAGCGAUGCACUAUCAACAUACCGCAGUGGAGACAUGGCUAAAACCAUCAGAAGGUCCCAGCCUGGCUAAUCCAAAAUCUGAAAGCUUUGCAUUCCAUCGGUCAUCCAAGAGAAUGUUAGAUGAUUUGAAGUCUCUGAAGAUAAUCUGCACCACCAAAAUUAUAUACUCCAUCAGACAAUUACAGUGAUAAAACUGUGCAAUCAGAGAGAGGUCAAUCUCUCUCUCUAUAAGAUGAUUCGCAACUGAAAUUUUUCCUAGAAUAAGCACAGAAAAUCUACUUCUUUUAGUUGGUCUUUCAUCUCAAACAAGCUUGCCGGUGCAACCUUGACAUGUUGAGUAGAUCACAGCUUAAUUACGCAUCAAGUAAGGAAAUUAUAUGGCCUGAGCUUUGUAAACAGCCCAAGGACAUGCAACAAAUGCCUCUUUGACCUCUUUUAACAAGGAACUUACUAUGUUGGUCUAAUACCGGACACAAAGUAAUGAUGUUACUAGAAAGGUCAUGUUUAUUUGUAUUUCGGAAGUUGAACAUUGAUUCAAGUUAAAAACUGGCUUAUUUGUUUCUAGGCUUUUAAAUUGCAAGUUGUCAGAAGAAGAUAAUAAGGCUUGGAGUCAAAUUCUUGGAUGGACACGAGAAGAAAGGCUGUAUGGCUGUGUUGUUUACAGAACAUAUUUGAUCUUGCACAUUUUUCAGGAGAAAGAACGAAUUCAAGUCACUGCUAAACAACCAUAACAACGGUCGGUGAUUGUAGCAAGCUGAACUCAACUACUCUAUACUUGAAAGUAGAAGGCUUUAGAAUCUGGGAGAGUAUUAUUAGAUCAUGUUGAAAUUUAGAAACUGUAGAGAACAACACACACCUGAAAUUCCAUUCCUUCAUGAAGGUAUGCUAAUCCCCGUGCAGCAUCCUGUGCGAUCCUCAGUCUGGUGGCCCAUGGCAGAGGUGUCUGAAAUCGACUGAAUAAAUGAUCUUGCACACUUCUGUUGGGCAAGUAUUCAUACACCAAAAGGCGUUGGAUUCCUCUUUCAUCAUCCUCAGCACAAUAGCCAUACAGUUUGACAAGAUUUGGAUGUUCAACAAUGCCAAGAACGUUAACCUCUGUCACCCAUUCCUUAUGUCCCUAUAUACACCAAAAGGGAUCAAGAUAGUUAUUUUAUGGCUAAGAUUUUGCAGCGAUGACAAAGAACAUCAAACGAUACCUAAGAAAAGAAAUCUGGUUAGGGUAACACUAUAGCCAAGUGAAUUCGAGAGCUGUGAAAACCUAAUGUAAGAUGUUGACGAAACAGAAUGAAUUACUAGGGAUUAAAAAUAUUUGUGAUUGUUCUCAAGUAUGUAGUGGGAGAUCUAAACCUUGAUUUUGCUAGGAAGGAUAACAUGAGAUGACAAAUUUGAGUUAGGCCACCAAUAACCAACUAAACAAUAUACAUACCCAAUCUACGAUCCUCAUCAAAUGUACAUGAUUGAGGAUUCAUGAUUGUUUUUAUCUUCAAGGAAUUCGAGGUAAAAGGUGAACUUCAAGUUUCACAUUUGCAAUCUAUACUAUAUGCGCUUUUGGUAUUCUUCCAUUCUUUUCAUUGUGAACUAACACUUCACGUCGCACAAAGCUAGGACAAUGAUCAAAAUUCUAGCACUAUCAGUUAAAAUGCUGGGAGGAGGAUUUCACCUGCAAUCCCCUUCUGCUGAGCUGUUUCACAGCAAUAUCAAGUUUUUUGUCCAAAUCCUGUACAUCCCUUAUGACACCCCUGUACACACCACCAAAACCUCCUUCUCCAAUCAUUAGGGAUCGGCUAAAAUUCCUUGUUGCUGUCUUGAGCUCUGUAAAUGAAAAGACCCUGAGGUUGCUUGGUCUUGGAGACGCGCUUGUAAGCGACAUACCCACAGAAGAUCCUGUGCUGAUGUCCGAGACAUUUAGAGAAUUAUAUUCAGAACCUGAUCUCCUCACCUCAGGAUCAGUUGAUGUUGAAGUAGAGGAGCGAACCGAAAUAGACUUAGUAGUCUUUGGCUCAUCUUUUCUGUCCGUGUUUGAGAAUGAGAAACACCUCAUAGCCCUUAAUUUUGCCAUUUCUCUAACUGCAAAUUGCAAAUCUCUCUAGUCAUGGAACCAUUAAAAAACAAGCGUUGCACUAGAUUUUUACAUCAAUUUGUAAAUUUUCGCCUUAUCUGUAAUUUUAAGAAACUCUUUAACUAAGAGAAUCGAUGAAGUCAGUAAAAUUCCAAUACAAGUUUGUAGUGCAAAUGCAAAAACUUCUCUUUGUUCUGAAUAAUCAACACAGAUAUUCCAAAGAUUAUAAGAGGGAAUAAGAAAAAAAAGUUCGUACAAUUUGAUUAGAAAAGCUCUUCUAUCCUAGUGAAUCACCAUUGCAGAAUCAACAGAUUCAGUUUGUUUGCGCACAACUGGAAUUUACAUGAAUUAUGCCCUGCCAUUACUUUUGCCUUAUUUUGGGCCCUUUUAAUAAACACUACUGCAAUGGUCCGGUCUGCUUCCAGAAUUACCAAAUUGUUUUCCGUCAUUGCAUCACUUCCUUAUAAGUUCCUUCCCAACUAAAGGUUAAUUCCUUAAAUUGCAUCUACACUUGUCCCGCAAAAUUCUUGAUCAUAAUCUUAUCAGGUUCAUAGAUUUCCUAGUCAGUUAUCAUUUACAAAUAUAUAGAAGUUUAAAUCCAUUUGAGGAACUAGACAAUGAGAAGACAACUUUCACAUGCAACUAUGCACAUAUGGACCAAACACGAACAUGAAGAAGUAGAAGAUGGAAGAAAUAUACAUACCUCCAGGUAAUAACAGGACAAGAAUAUUGUGAGUGCUAACAUUCAAGAAUGUCCAUUUUCGACAGGUUAUAAGAGGAGCCCAGAAUCCAAAUAAAGGCAGUGGGUCAGAAAAUCAAGAAGCAGAAGGAGAACGAGCGUCCCAUGAUCUAAGGAAGUCAAUGCUGGGCAGCUGGAAUUCAGCUCACCAACCAGGUUAUCCCCAUUGAAAAAAGACAAGAGGGAGGGGGACAAAAAGGGAAAGAAAGAAAGAAAGAAAAAUAGACCCCAGAAAAAAAAGUGGAAGGAAAACAGAAAGGCUGGACACAAUUGAUGAUUAAUGCUUUAUCCUAAAGGAAGUGCAGGACCGGUCUCCAGUGGAAUUUCUGAGCUAAGAAGUUGAAUUCUGCGUAUAUUGUACUCAAUCAAGAGUUGGAUAGUGAUUGUUUUGGAAGACGCAAAACUCAAGACGAAAGUACACCUGUAGUCGUAGUAGUAGUAGUAGUAGUAGUAGUAGUAGUAGUAGUACAGUUAAAGAGUUCAAAUCAAAUGCAAGAGAACUUGUUCUUGGAUUCACAUUUCUUGGAUGCGGUUCUUGGUUACUUGUUACAUCAAUAAUGUUCACCAACUUAAUCGUACUUGUUCACCAUCUGGCCGUUGGAGGAUGCGCCAGCGGACAUCAAAUUUGUACUGCAAAUGAGAACCGGAUUUGGAAUUGCAUGCUAACGUUCCAUCUAAUUUCCAUGAAUUGUGUUAAUAAACAAGAAUGUUGAACUGAAAUGAUUGAACCCUUUAUUUUGACUACUAAACUAAUGUAUAGUCAUAUGAAAAUGGAUGCAAGAAAAUGAAAUUUGAGUUCAAAGGUUUUCUCUUUUUUUUUAAAAAACCCUCUUUACCUGUCCAUUGUGGUGCUUGACAGGCAAGCAGUACAUGUGAUCCUACAUAUGAAUAUAUAUGAUCUCAAUCUCUUAUUUAUGUGCAAUAAUGCCACAUGUUCGUUUCCGAUGAAGCUCUAAAACAGCUUUUUAGUUUGGGGAAUUAGUAAUUAAUAGUUUGCAUUUAGAUAAGCAUAUGUGCCGGAGGAUAAUUAACUGAAAUGACCAGGUGUAACUUGCAAGAUGUCUUGUCCGGUUAACAAUUCACCUACUUAAGAGCUACGGAAUUAGGUUAGAGAUGAGCUAGCAAACCAUGCAUUCUUUAUUAAAUCAUUCUUUGAUUGGAAGUUUUCGUUUAAUCAAUCAUUUUGUACAAUCUACAUUUAGGUAAUUUUAGUCCAUAACAAAAUGUAAUUUUAUAUCUGCACACAUCAUAAAUUAAGAAUGUUGAAAGCAAGACUAUCGUGAUGCAUACGUGAUACAACUAUCUUUCUUCUUUUUUUUUUCUUGUAAUAACGACAAAUGAGGAGUAAACUAUCAAAUCAGAUAAAUGCAUUACAACACUCUCUUCUUUUAAAAAAUAAGAAAAUAUAGUGCUUCCUUAUUAUAAUGUAAAGAGCCGAGUUCGGAUCCCCGAACCAGUACAUGAAAAGGGACUGUUUCUGACCAUUAAACUACGCAGAUAAUUUACAACAAUGACAAAUGAGGGGUGAAUUAUUAGAUCAAACAAAUGCAUUACUAUUUUUUUUUUAAAAAAAAAAAUAUAUAUAUAUAUAUAUAGUGCUUCCUUAUUUAAUGUAUUAAAAAAAUAUAUAUAUAUAUAGUGCUUCCUUAUUUAAUGUAAGGAGCCGAGCUCUUAUCCCCAAUCUAGUAAAUGAAAAGGGGCUACUGUUUCUUCUGACCAUUAAACUAACUCAGAUGCAUCAAUCUACCACUUUUCCAUUCUGUAUAUUCUAGAAGUCAAACAACUGUUGCACUGUGUGCCAGUAAGAUUGAAAAGUUCACGCGGCUGACAAAGGAGUGCCCACGUUUUGGGAUUUUGUGAACUGCAAACGUAAUGCUUAAUAAAAAAAAAAUUAGGUCAGACUUAAAUGGAUGGCUUGUCGAUUUUUUCCCCUGUGUAUAUUUGACCUUUGAUUAUUAUUUUUUUGGGGGUGUUAGUAAAGUAAUGAAGUGGUGUUGAUGAGAUGAGCAGGCAUCCGCAUCACUGUUGUUGAUACUCUUGGUCUUGGGACAUAUAUAUAUAUAUGUGUGUGUGUGUGCGCCAUUUUUUUGGAGUGCCUGAAUAGAUAAUGAUGCCCUAUCUAUCCGACCUUUUUGAUGAUCACUUUUAUGUUUAAAUGCUAUAUGAAAUUAGGUGAGCAAAUUCUAUGAUUUGCAUAGAUUGGACUGUAAAUCAAUGUCACUAUUACAGUGUUUGCAUUCCUCAAAAGAAACGAAUUAUGUGUCCAAAAAGAAGAAGAAGAAGAAGGGGGAAAAAGUAUGACACAAUUACGGAAUAAAUAUCUUUUAUUUGGAGAAAAGAAAAUACUGAGGGGAAUCAAGGGAUAGUGGUAAAAGAAGAUAACACCGAUUAUUCUUCUCACUUUUGUUAUUAGGUUUAGAGAUGGCUAAGUCUUACAAGGAGAAAAAGAGAAUGGAAAGGAUUUGAGAGCUAGAUAAGGGAAUAUAAAUCUAGCGAUUAUCCAAUUAAUACUUUUUGGAUAAUUUUUUUUUUUACACUAGCAAAUUUAGAUCAAUGUCACAUAACAUGAAUUGAAAUUUGAAUUUCAAAUCAUACACACGUGGCAUACAUUUAAAAUUAAAUCACACUGACGAAUUGGGAUUUAGUAACUUGUUACUCUUUUUUCUUCUUUUAUUUUCUUCAUUUUUUAUACCCUUUUUUCUUCUUUAUUUACGGUUAAAGAGAAUUUCAAUCACACAAAGUUGGGCUCUCGUUGCCACGUCCCAUUAAACGAUGAGGAAGCGGUGACGGGUUGUCAGGCCCACGAUCUCUACGAAUUUGUGGACAAAGCCCGCUGGAAUCAGAGAGUUUGAGCGGCGAUCCGAAUUGGUCUGUUACUUUGGUUUCCACAACAGCCAAUUUUUUUUUUUUUUUAAUUUUCUUUUAAAACUACAAAAUUGUUCUUUGUCCCGAGAUCCAAAUGAAACGUUAGGCACAUUAACAGGGCAACCUUGAUUCCCUUAAUUCGAAUGGAUUUCUAUUGAAAUAUAAGAAAAUUCUAUGAUCCUUCUAGUGAAUCACUCCUUUCAUUUUUAUCUCUUAGUCGUAAUAAUGAUUUCAAAAUUUAAAUGAUUAAAAUUAAUACAAUCUAAGAGCUCAAAAAUACUUAUUUCACUAUUUAACAAUAAAUAUAACUUGAAACUAUGAUACUCAAUUGAAACUUGUGAACUCUUCUUGAAAUUCAACCUUCGUUGAUUGGGGAAGAUUGGGAAAGAUUGCUGUGUUCUAAAGUAUGGAGUCCCAACCCAUCAGAGAUGUGAAGCGUAAAAAGUAUUUUUAUGACUGUUGCUACAUUUAGAUGCAACAUUUUAAGUCGAUUAAUUAGAUUUGGAUAGACAUCCCCUUAAGGGCGCCUUUGGGAGUUGAGGAUUUGAGCGGAAGAGAAAGGGAAAGAAAAGAAAGCUUGAUUUUCUUUUGUUUGGUAGUUUUAAGUAGGAAAGAAAAGAAAUGAAAUAGGAUGAUGAAUAGUGAUCAAAAUGUUUCCUCCCAAAUUGGAAGGAAAUGGAGAGAAAGUUUGGAGAAAGUUUGUUAAUUUUUCUAAAAUGCGAAUUUUGUCCUUAAAAAUGCCUUGAACAAAUAUUUAAUGACUUCCAUAUCCAAAAUCAUUCCACUAAUUCUCAAAACUCCCAAACAACAUAACAAUCUCUUCUCUUCUCUUUUCUUCUCUCAUAACUUAAGCUUUCCCUUCUUUUCUUUUCUAUCCUAAACUCCCAAACUAAGCCUAAGACUCAGGCUUCAGUUUACACUUUUUUUUUUUUAUUGGAAAGUACUUGAUCAACAGAUAUUGCCCUCUCAAGCAGGCACCCUUAAACAGUUGAAUUCGUCAACCCCUUAUUAUUUUUGGGUCUGAAACGUUUGUCCAUAUGAUUGACAACUUAAAUGCAACAAAGUCAAAUGAGAUUAUUGCCAAGCAACUCAAGGGUGCAUUUAUCUGAACUUGCAAGCAUUCAAAUCAAUAAUCAUUUUCGCUGCAAUAUGUGAAGUCCAAGCUUACCACUCUCCUACAAGAAGAGAAGAGAAGAGAAGAGAAGAGAAGAGAAGAGCGAGAGAUAAAAUUCUUAGGAUAAAGUCAUCUUCGGUUUGGAUUGCUACUUUUUGGAGUUCUAUUAGAAAAAAUCACUGUAGCGAUUUGAUAUAUGUAAAAUAUGAGCGAUUUCUUCAGCUCAAUGAACAGUAUGGUACAAGAGUUUCUUGUACUUGGCCUUUUCAGACCAAGCGCUUUCUUUAAAAAAAUCUUUUCCCCUAAAGUAAAAAAUUUUUAAUAGAAAAUUACAAUAGAAACACACCAGCUAUAGUUUGAAAACUCCAGAUAGGAAGCAUACCGUUUAGGCUGAGGAAGCAUGAAUCUGCUCAAGAAUAAAGUCACACGGUGAAAUAAAAUCCUUAGAUCCUUUAUAGAUGAGCAUUACAUAUGCCAAAACAAAAGCAAACGUUCAGAGAAAAGAAUGUAGGUAAAUGGUGCCAGUUGUGUAUAGAAUUCGAUCACUACUAGAGUCUGAGGCAAGGUUUUUUGGUAUUGGCAUAGAAACUUCUAACAAUAUGAUUUUUAAAGUUUCAUUUUCUACAAAAAAAUAAUCCACAUUUUCGAAGUUCAAAGCUAUCAUAUUCAUGUUGUCGGGUAUCUUUUGAAAAUAAUGCCAUCUUAAAAUGCUGAUCGUCUUUAAAAAAAAAAAAAGGAAGCUCUUCUGGAGAACGAAAUCUUGGGGAAGUCAAUGAAUCAUUUCUAUCUUUACUUUACCCACAAUGACAAGCUAAAGCAAUGAAUUAGUCCAAAUAAAACUGUCAGCUACGAAAAGGAAUUUAUAAUUUUUUUUUCUCAAAGAAAAGGAAUUUAUAAUAGAAAAUUGAAAAUCUUGUUUCCUAAAACACAUUUGGUAGACCACCUCAAAGGUUCAAAAUAGAACCAAUUAUUCCAUGCAAUAAAAAAAAAAGGAAGAAGUUUUCUUGUCUAUAGACACAAAAAAAUCGUCCUAUUCUACCAUCCUCAUCUCUCUUCCUAGUCUUCCCAUCGACAUCCUUAAUUAUGAAAAUUGUUAAUGUAUUAAUCUCUUUUGCACCUUAAUCAUUUCGUUGCUUCAAGAAUUCAGUGUAUGUGGUACCUUAAAACGUAUAUACCACGAUUAAUUAUUUGUUGAUUUUGCUGCAUUCUUUUGGUUUUUUUACUAAUGCAACUUGUCCCCAGUGCUGUUUACUAGUACUACUAUUAUAUUUUGCUUCCUCAACUUGCUUCUUUUAAGUUGACAAGUGCUCCAACCAUAUUGAGUGCAGAAUUGAAUGUUUACAAGAUUUACCAAUAAAAAAAAAAAGAAGAGACAGAGAGAGAAUAAUAAUAUUUGAUGGUCCAUAUGUUGGAAGAUAGCCUAAUGGGGAACCCUUGUCAGCAAAAGAAGGGAUUACACUAUAAUGUACCUUGUCACGGUUUGAAAUCUCAAGAAUGUAACAUAAACGGAGAAAGGAAAAAGAAUAGGGCAAAAAGAAGGUAACAUCAGCAUGUUGGUACAAUAAUCAAGCAACCUAGGGUUUAGAACAAAUUAUUGCAAGUAAUUUAAGGAACAAAAAACGCAAAGAAGAAAAAUUUUAAAAAUAUACAAUGACGAACAACACUAUAUAAUUCUUAACGCUAAUAUAAAUUGGUUCACUUGGCAAGAAUGAGCUACUUUUUCAUAAAAGGUAGUGUAUUCGAAUUUCAUUGUCGAUGUGAGAAAUGCAUUAAUGAAUGAUCUAUAAGAAUUUCUCUCAACAAUUUAUAGUUUCGAAAGCAAAUUCUUACUCACAGUAGUGAUCGGAUUCGAACCCAUCCAAACUUUUUCUUAAAAAAAAAUAUAACCUUGACAUAAUUUACAUGUCGUGUUGUGACCAGUAUCAUUGGAUACACACAACGUUGUGAUUAUAAAGAUGCACGCAAGUUAAUUUGUCAAAAUGUAUUCAAGCCGUAUCAAUUGCCUUUACCACAUGCUGCAAACUCUUCUUCCUUGAUAUUUCACCUCUGGCCCAUAACCCUUGGGUUCCUCAUUUUCUUGGACAUUGUUUUGACUCAUUCUCUUUACAUUUGUCCUCCUGGACGGUAUCAUUAACUUUGUUCUCCAUUUGUAAGUGUCAAGAAAAGCUAACAAAGUUAUUACUUUUUUUUUUGGAAAGUGCUAACAAAGUUAUUCAAACGCUCUUGCCUUGUCUGCUUCGAAUAAAACUUACCAACGAGGAUAGAAAAUCCUCUGUAAUUAAGUACAGGAAUUUUUAGCAAAGCAGAUAAAAUUGCUGCAAAAACAAAUACUACUAUCCUGCUGUGUAGCAGGACUGCCAACAGUUUCAUAUGAAUGCCGGCGGAUCCCUUUCAGAACUCACAGUUUUUUGUAUGAGUGUUUCGAUAAAUGGACCCUGCGAAGACACUUCAAAAGCCGGCAACUUUUGAAGUGCUCCGCAGCACUUAACUACUAAACCCCCCAAACCCCCCCAAGCGAUGUGGGAACUUAACCCCACAGGGUGCCCUGCUGCUAAGAAGUAAAGACCCCCCAGACUCCCCGAGACAGGUUUUUCCCUUUCAGAACUCACAGUUUUUUGUAUGAGUGUUUCGAUAAAUGGACCCUGCGAAGACACUUCAAAUGCCGGCGGAUCAUUGCCCGUUAAGACAUAAAGACAUGUUCUUUUUGGGACCCACUUCCAACUCCCAUUUCUUCCCAACAUUUCUUCCCCUUAUUUAUACCACCAAGGUUUAUUCUCACCCUCCAUCUUUAAUCUCGCCGCCUAACCAGCUAAUUUGUCCGUCUCUCAAGACACCCUUUUUGAUAUUAUUUGCUGGGAUUGACUAAGAAUUCCGGAAAAUCCCUUCUUCUAGCGAGAAAAAUAAAUAAAUAAAUAAGAAAAAGACAAUCUUGUAGAAUGAGCAGAGAAAGAAAACCCAGAAAAUUUGUCAAAUUCUUUAGCACUAGUAGGAUCACAUUGGCAGUUUUAGUAGUUGUGAUUUUGCAGUUGAGUUGGGUGCAGCUGGUACAAUGCCAGAACUUUGAUGACUAUACAUCUGGAAGUGGAAAAGAUUUUCCGGUGGAUAAUCCGGAAUUUGUCAAGUAUUUUACUCAAGUUGCUUACAGCAGGCUAUCCAAUCUCACUACGCUUUUGCUCUCCAGUCAAUUUGCUAACAACUAUAGCUACUGUGUUAAGGAUCCGUAAGUUUACUAGCAUGGCUCUGUAUUUCAGUUCUCUUUCUUGUUGAAGUUCUAUUUUAUACAACUACUUGUGAUUUUGGUUUGUUGAUUGUUUUGGUUCUGUAGGAAAGCUGAAUGGAACAGGGCGUUUAACUUUUCCGACAAUUUGGAUUUUGUUAGUAACUGCAUUACCAAUCUCAGAGGUAAAUAAAUGUUGAAUGAGCUAGUUUGGGUUUAAAUAAGAUGAGCUUGCCGUAAAAAAUAAUGAUAUUUGGUUUCAAAUUAAUCUGGGAGCUAAGUAGUUUCAAGAAGUUGACAGCUUAAUAACUGAUAAGGCACUUGGGAUUUGUUGUAGGAUGUUUCUUUGAAUUUAGAUGCAGUUGACUCUAAUGCUGAAAAUUAUUACGCAAUACUAAUACAAAUGAUUAUCUGAUUCUGGAAUCUGGAUAAAAACAAAAAGGGAUUCCUUUAAACUUUGUUUUAGGUAUAAAAGUACUGCUGCAUCAAAAUCAAAAUCUCGGAUUUGAAAAUAUGCUUUCUAUUUAGUUAUUGUUGUGACGAAGCUCAAAAAAUAUAACUUUUUUUACCUAGCAUCUGCUAAUUGUUUAUGAAAGUGUUAAUCAUCUGCUAAUUGUGCUCAAUAAUAUGACUAGCUAUUGCUCAAUGUUUCUGUUCAUAACUGUUACUUUUAGUAGAGGUUUAUAACAUAUCGACAUCUACUAUAUAAUUUAUUAAAUCCAUUGGAAUGCCAUAAUUGAACAGAACUCCAUUAAGCUCAUCAAAAACUUGUCACAUAUAGAGGAAGUUUAUUAGUUGGCAAUUGUCACUGAAACUCUCAGUUUCAAGCAGAUCAAUGAAGAAUUAUGUCUCCCAUGGGGAUUUGCAGUUUCCAGAGCAUUUUCUUUUCAGCUGGAAACUUAAAGUAUUUUGGUCCAUCAUUUGUCGAUUCUAAUUAUCAUUUGUGCAACAGGAGACAUCACUCAGCGAAUAUGCACAGCUGCAGAGAUAAAAGCCUACUUCAACAGCAUCCAAAACUCAAAUGCUAUAAAACCUAAUGGAAACUGCAAUAGGACAUCUUGGGUUUCUGGUUGUGAGCCUGGAUGGGCAUGUGGCGUCAACUCAGAUCAGCCAAUUGAUUUAAAAAAUUCUCGUGAUAUACCAGUCAGAACUUUGGACUGCCAAUCCUGCUGCGCAGGUUUUUUCUGCCCACGUGGCAUCACUUGCAUGAUACGUAAGUAUGCAAGAAAGUUGUGAUCCUUUUAAAGCUAUUCUUGUGAUUGCAACAGACUAUAAGCUAUAGUUCUGGUGAUCAUAACGAGAUUUAAUUUGUGAAUUCUUUCACUUAAGCUUCUUUCUUAAGCAACCUUAGAAAAUAGUGUGCUUCUAGUAAUCUUCUGCAUACACUGGAAAUGCUGUUAACUCUUGUUUUAGUUUACGUACUAUAUAGAUGUUGGAGUGUACAGAGCCAUUUUAACAUCCACAAAGUUUCAUAUCCAUCCUUCAUUUUUAUGUCCUCUUUUCCAUUUUAGAAAACUGAUAAUUUUUUUUUCAAAUUUGAAAUGUUAAGUCCUUGUCCAAGCAGAGUUUCCUUUGCGGCCUUUUUCAUGCCCUUGCUUUUCUUUACCCAUGUAUUUACUAGAAACCAACUAGUCUGUUGAUCAUUCAUGAUAUUACUGGAUGAACAAUCAGGUGAACCUGCAUUUCUCUAUUGCAAGAACUUUACAGCAGAUUGACUAUAUUAACCUUUUACUUUGUCCGUGGCAAUCCUAUGAUGCGUCAGUUGUUUGUACUCAAUUGAUGUUCUGUGCUCUUUGGCUAAUUAUUCAGAUGAAUUUCAAUGCUUGUUUGGCCCCAUUUGGGGUUGCGGUGGCUUAUAAAGAAGUACUUCUGACACAAGUGCUUUUAACAAAAGUGCUUUUAAGUUACCACAACUUGGGCUACUUAAGUUACGGGAAAUUAGUCACCAAACACCCUAGAGGUACUUUUAGUGCUUAAAAGCACUUUUUUUUUUUUGUAAACGCACCGCAAUCCCAAACGAUGCCUUUAUUACAUUAAACUCUGAAACUUUUUUAAUUGUUCACUGCUAAUAGCUUGGAAGUUUUCUCACAAAAUAUUCUGGUUUAUGUGAAGCAUGCCCAUUAGGUUCGUACUGUCCACUUGCUACGCUUAAUAGGUCUAGCGGCAACUGCGAACCGUAAGUUCUAAUUCUUGUUGCAACAAUUUUUUGAAGGAUUUCUCCAUUUUGUAUGGCUUUUUAUAUCUAUCAUAGCACUCUUCAGGUACAAUUACCAGUUACCAGCUGGACAGCUAAAUCACACUUGUGGUGGGGCAGAUAUGUGGUCCGAUGUCAUCUCUAGUGGUGCUAUAUUCUGCUCAGCAGGAUCAUAUUGUCCAACCAGUAUAGAGCAAACUCCUUGCAGCAGUGGGUAAGAUUGUUGUCUUUUAAAGUUUCUGUAAUAUGAAUUCCUGUUGAGAAAAGAAAAUUAAUUAGAAGUGUGAAACAGUUUUGGAGUGGAAUGACAACAUAUGCUUUGAAACAUGUAAUGGAAAUGGAAAAUUGGAUAGGCAUGUGAAAUACCAAACAAACUUGUUUACAGUUUUCAUAAAUCCAUUAAAGAUAAAAAAUUAAUUACUGGAUUGGUUUUAAAAAGUUCUUGGCUAAUUUUGGAAUGAUAUUUGAACUGUUAAUCAUAUUCUCUGGGAGUGUUUUGCAUGUUUUUAAAUUUGUUGCAACUGUUAUUGUCUACAUUGAAGUCUAGUUUGGAGAAACUUCGUGACUGUCCAAGAAGCAGUUCCCUACAACCAUGGUCUCCAUUUUUGUUUUGUUAUACUAGUGAUUCUAUAUGCGAAGUCUCAAUACAUUAUUUCUUUAAAUCUCAGGAAUUACUGUCCAAUGGGCUCUACAUCUGAGAAACGUAAGACCAGACUAAGAUUUGAGUUAGCACAUGCUAAAUUUUAUCAAAACCUUAAUGCUUCAUGGAGUGACGGUGACUAAUUAAACUUGCAGCAUGCUUCAAGCUGGCUUCGUGUGAUCCCAAUACUGCAAGUCAAAAUAUUCAUGCAUAUGGAGCAAUGCUUAUAGUAAGUUGUUUCCGUGUUUUAUGAAUUACUAUUAUAUGUUGGACCCUUUGUCUUAUAGGGGAAGUGAAAUGUGGAGGUUGUUUUACCCCAAGCUCUAGCUACGUAUACAUACAUCAUUUUAGUAUGGGAGAGUGAAGCGAAAAGGUUCAAGAUGCUAAUAUAGAGCUAUAAUUGCAAUACUGAAGAUGCCCUGUCUGUCAUGUUUCUGUUGUUAUUCUCUUUACAAUUUGGCUUUAAACUCUGAUGAUGAGACACUUAAGUGUGGACUUGAUCUUUUGGGAUCACAAUUUCUCUCUCUAUUAACUGUGUAAGGAUCUCUAAAAUCUUCACUGUGCCUCAACCAGCACUUGUCUAUGACUGCAGAUUUCAUUACCUGGCCAUCUUCUCAAAGUCCUUGUAUUCUUUUGCUAUUGCAAAUGCAACUAACAAAAUAAACGUAUUUUUCUAAUCACAAGCUGUUUGAGUACUCUAACUGUGUAAGGAUCUCUAAAAUCUUCACUGUGCCUAAACCAUCACUUGUCUAUGAGUGCAAAUUUCAUUGCCUGGCCAUCUUCUCAAAGUCCUUGUAUUCUUUUGCUAUUGCAAAUGCAACUAACAAAUAGACAUAUUUUUCUAAUCACAGGCUGGUUUGAGUACUCUUCUCCUUAUUAUCUAUAAUUGCUCUGACCAAGUUAUCACCAUCCGAGAGAGGAGACUGGCCAAGUCCAGGGAAGCAGCAGCUAGAAGCAUAAGAGAGAAGGUUCAAGCACGUACAAGGUGGAAAGCUGCAAAAGACGCAGCUAAAAAGCAUGCAAUUGAAUUGCAAAGUCAAGUAUCUCGGAAAUUCUCUCGCAGGAAAGUUGGUGCAGAAAAUGAAAAAGUUAGGAUAUUAAACGAAGAAGAGCUUGGGACAGAUGAGGAUCUAUACCCUACCAUGGACACUAGUACUUCUGUUGCAUCUGAGCAAUCAUAUGCUUCAUCAGAAGGGAAGACAAUAGAAGCAGGUCAUCUCACAAGAAUGAUGCACGAAAUUGAAGAUCAUUCUGACAGUUUCUCAAGUUUUGCAGUGGACGCUAAAAGUAGCAAGUCAAAAGCUGCAAAGGAAAAAGAAAUACACACUCAUAGCCAAAUUUUUAAGUAUGCUUACUCACAACUUGAGAAAGAGAAAGCUCAGGAACAGCAGAACAAAAAUCUUACGUUCUCAGGAGUAAUUUCAAUGGCUGCCAAUACCGAGACGAGAAAAAGACCCGUUAUUGAGAUUGCUUUCAGAGACCUAACUGUUACUCUGAAAGGAAAACACAAACAUCUUUUGAGGUCUGUCAAUGGAAAAAUAAUGGCUGGCCGUAUAACAGCUGUGAUGGGCCCGUCGGGGGCAGGAAAAACAACUUUUCUCUCUGCCCUGGCUGGAAAAACAGUUGGAUGCACAAUCAAUGGUUUGAUUCUUGUAAAUGGAAAGACCGAAUCGAUCCAUUCAUACAAAAAGAUUGUCGGUUUUGUUCCACAGGAUGAUAUUGUGCAUGGAAAUUUGACUGUGGAGGAGAACCUAUGGUUCAGUGCAAGAUGCAGGUAUGUGACAUCCAAUUCUGUCGACAUCUCAAAAUACGAAUUUAUUAUCUUAAGAAUAAUUGGAAGUAGAAGCAGCAGAAAUAGUUGAAAUGUUUUACAUAUACUGAUUGGUAUCUAUUUGUAAGAAUAUCUGAACAGUUAAAAGGUACCUUCAAACAUUUUUCUGUUGGAAAGGUGUGAAUUGCACUAGCUGAUGCAAACAGCAUUAAGAAUUGAAGGACAUUUAAGCCACUUUCAAAACCGUUUCUUUUUGUUUGUUUGUUUGUUUUUGUUUUUGUUUUUUAACGCAUUGGCUUUUAGAUUGUGUAAACCUGUCAAUAUUCUGCCAUUUGAGAUUGCAGCAAACUAUGGUAUUUUUUUCAUCUUCAAAGAGCUCCAUUGUCAUUUCUAUGGUGACAUAUUUACCCAUGGAGCAUAGAAUUUCAUUAUUAACUUUUUUUUCUACUUCUUAAAAUUAUUGAAGGCUUUCUGCAGACUUGCCUAAACCAGAUAAGGUUCUUACCGUUGAGAGGGUAAUUGAGUCUCUGGGGUUGCAGGCUGUCCGUAGUUCCUUGGUUGGAACAAUAGAAAAGAGAGGCAUAUCUGGAGGUCAGAGGAAAAGAGUAAAUGUUGGUCUGGAGUUGGUUAUGGAGCCCUCGCUUCUCUUUUUAGAUGAGCCCACAUCUGGAUUGGACAGCUCAUCUUCCCAGCUUCUUCUUAGAGCAAUUCGACGGGAGGCUCUUGAGGGGGUAAACAUAUGCAUGGUUGUCCACCAGCCAAGGUAACUAAAUCAAUAUUCUGAACAGUGGAUGGUAGUCUUUUCCUCUUUUGAUUGGAUUUGUUUAACUUUGUCAUAUAUCGCUAUGCUAAUGGUUUCUCUACUUAAACACAUCUACUUAAGCUGUUAUGAGUCUUUAGCAUACAUUCAGGACUUUGAUAGGAUUAUUCUCGUGGAACUUGCAAAAGACCAUGUGCAACCUGGAAAUGACAGAGGAAAUUUUAUGAACUUAUACCCUAAAGAGAGAGAGAGAGAGAGGAUUUUUUUUGAAUUACUUUACGACAGACGCUGCUCUCUUUAUGAAAUUAUUCAGAGCUUACCAGAACAUUAUUUAUUUAGAAGUCUGAAAUUAUGCUUGCAUCUUUUUUUCUUUUUAUUUUUCAGUUUGGUAUGACUGGCUAGGAUCAUUUCAUUCUCCUACUGAUUGUCAGUACUCAUCUUGUUGUUUCAGCUACACCUUAUUCAGGAUGUUUGAUGACUUGAUACUUCUAGCAAAAGGUGGUCUUACUGUAUAUCAUGGUUCGGUUAGAAAAGUUGAAGAGUAUUUCACCAGCCUUGGUAUCAAUGUUCCUGAACGAGUUAAUCCCCCAGAUUAUUUCAUUGACGUUUUGGAGGGAUUGGUCAAACCAAACACAAGUUCCAGUUUGAGUCAUGAAGAGCUUCCAGUCAGAUGGAUGCUUUAUAAUGGUUAUCCUGUACCCCCAGACAUGCAACACUAUUCUGUUGCUGUUACUGCAUCUCCAACAUAUGUACAGUUUGGUAGUCAUGAGUAUUCUGCUCAAAUUACAAACGAGGACCAAUCUUUUGCCGGGGAAAUGUGGCAAGAUGUGAAGUGUAACAUGGAAAGGCGGCGAGAUAUAAUCCGGCACAACUUCUUGCGGUCAAAAGAUUUGUCAAACCGAAGAACUCCAAAUGUGCUCCUGCAAUACAAGUAUUUUCUUGGGAGGUACAUGACAAAUUUUCAUUUAUAUUCAUGGCUCCUAAAAGGGACAAUCUAACUAUCUUCUUCAUACUUUUGCAAGCCUGUAAACAAUGUUCUGUGGCUCAGAGUUCUUUAGAUAAGCCAAAUUACUCUUCUUCAACUGCCACACACAUAAACCCUGUUCGCAAGGUAAACAAACAUGCCAUAAUAAAGAAACAUGAGAUGGAGGGGUGAUGGGAAGGGCUAAAGAUGCGAGGCCUACCUUGCAUAAAGAGAAGUUCCAUGUCCUGAAACUGUGAAUAGUGCACCAUAAGCCAAAACACAUGAAAGAAGCAAUAUCUGGAUUUAUACUGGAGUGUCUGUCCUUCCUAUAGAGUACGGUUUUUAAAUCCUGACCUGAUCUCCUUGUCUAUUGCUCCUAUUGGUAAGGAAGCUCUUCUUGAAUCUUGGAAGUGAAUUAAACUCUCCACAUGGCGAAAAUAACAAACUGGCAGACUCAUUGACUUAGUAGACUAGAUGAAUGGGAGGAAGUUCUGAGACUACCAAAAAAGAAAUGGAAUCACAGAGUAACACUUUGGCUAUUUUCAUUAGAAGGAUGUUGUCAUCCUGCCUUAGAUUGUAUGCAGCUACUUAAGGUUGGAUUAAUAGUUUGGUUGGCAAGGCAUCGUUUAUUGGUUAAAUCUUUAGGGUCAGCAGCAAACUCUGUAUAAUUACGGCAGUUGCUGUUAGUGUUUAAGGGUUUGCUGGCACAUUAUACAAUAAGAAACUUGCUAAAUGUGCUAACCAUUGGAUCUCUGAUUGCUUAAGUAACUUUCUUCUUAGUUCACUGAGACUACAUUGUGAUGUAACCUGUGGUCAUACUGAUCUCAGGGUUGGCAAGCAACGAUUACGUGAAGCAAGAGUGCAAGCGAUAGAUUAUCUCAUUUUGUUACUUGCUGGGGCUAGCUUGGGAUCUCUUAGCAAAGCAAGUGAAGAGCAGUUUGGCAUGCCUGGUUAUACUUAUAGUAUUAUUGCUGUUUGUAAGUAAAGGAUCAACCACCUCUCAUUUAAUAUUGAUUUAUAUUUGAAAUACUGCCUAAUUUAAUUGACUCACUAGUGUGAAGUUGCAAUGCUUUAGAACUGAAGAAAAUAUUUCCUUCAACCUCCUGAGACAUGUUUUAUGCCCUGAAUCAUGACUAAUACCCUUCAUGCUAAAAGAGGUUCAUAAUGGGUUCUUUUCGUCCAAUUUCAGCUCUUUUAUGCAAAAUUGCGGCAUUGAGGUCAUUUUCAAUGGACAAGCUACAACAUUGGCGAGAAAGUGCUUCAGGGAUGUCUAGCCUGGCUUAUUUUGUUUCAAAGGAUACAAUGGACCACUUUAACACAGCCAUCAAGCCUGUGGUCUAUCUAUCAAUGUAUUAUUUCUUCAAUAAUCCCAGAUCGCCAUUCAUGGAUAAUUAUAUUGUUUUGCUCUGCCUCGUGUAUUGCGUGACUGGUAUAGCAUAUGUAUUAGCCAUCUUUCUUGACCCUGGACCUUCUCAGCUGGUGGGUAGUAAUUUCUUGUUUAAUCCUAGUAUGACUUCUAUUUGAAUUAUUAUGAAUUUGAUUAUUUAAUUUGACCUGUUACUUUUUCAACCUUGUGCAGUGUUCAGUAAUUCUUCCUGUGGUUUUGACUCUGGUUGCAACUCAGGCCAGAGAUAAUAAAGUAUUGAAGAUUAUAUCUGACUUCUGUUAUCCAAAAUGGGCCUUAGAAGCAUUUGUUAUUGGAAAUGCAGAAAGGUAUGAUCCUUCUAUGCAACGUUAAAACUUUCAUCCAUUUGUUAGAGCCUGCUUUAACGCAUUAAAACUACAAAAGCGAAGCAGAAGUGUUUAUAUAAACCUAUCGCUUGACAUGACCAUAAUAACUCUAGAGAAAAAUUGUCUAUCCAGGUCUAGAGAUUGCUGAAGGAACUAUAUCAAUUAAAUAUACUUAGCAAACUAGUAGACGAGUUUAACACUAAAAUGAAUGAAUUUUAAUACGGAUAGAAGCUCAUCAAAACAUGGUGACUUUGAACUUGUAAACCAGCCAAACAGUCGACUCAUUACCUUUUGGUUUUCAGGUACUAUGGUGUGUGGAUCAUAACUCGCUGCGGUACGCUCAGAAGAUUUGAUUAUAAUCUCCAUGACUGGAUACUUUGUAUAGCUAUUCUAAUCCUCACUGGCAUAGCUAGUCGUGGCAUAGCUUUCCUCGGCAUGCUGGUUUUCCAAAGAAAGUAGGAGUAAAUUCAAUUUGACCAAGUACUCAGUUCAGAUUAUUGCAUGGAAGUAUAGUCACUCGCAAUUUUCAGGCAAUCACAGAAUGCAUGAUUCGAAGGCUCUGCGUUUCCAAGCUAACAUUUAGUCGAGUUCAAAGAAAAGCUAACAUUUACUCUGGAGUAACGGUGCAGGAUCUAAUUCUUGACUGCAUCAUGAUAGUUCUUCUGAGCUUUUUAUGGCCAAUUUAAUGUAUAGGAACUUGUGAUGAUAGUAUAUUUAUAGCUUUACACAGUUCAUUUUUUAGUGUAUGUCAGAGGAGAGAGCCUAUUGGUCUUUCCUGUCCGGGUCAAUCCUUACGGGGCCCGACUAAUCCCCUGCGGCCCGGGCCUUGGCGCCCCAACCCGACCCAAGCACGGUAAGUGCGCGGAGGAAUCCAGCAGCGCAGGGACUCGAACCUGGGACCUAGAGGUUUACCAGGAGGAGGUGCUGCCGCUGGACCAUUCACGCGGGGGCUUCCUCGUACAAUCCAGAGACAUACUUUAAUACGAUUAGUGGAUUCUUUUCAUGUAAACAGAACAGGUCAAAGGUUAUCCUUUUGUUUUUUUUGGAGUAAUAUCUUUCGUGGUAUUGUGCAUUGCUUUAGAAGUUGGCACGCCAAUGACAAAAGAAAACCCAACAAGCUUGCCUGCUAUAGCUGUCAAGUUUCUCUUCCAAGAAUCAGGAUUGAAUACAGAAAUCUCAACGGAUUUAAGAGUCUCGAGGGAACAAAUAUGCAAGUACGUAUAUAGUAAUACUUCAUAAGCAAAAAAAAAAAAAGAACCAAUAAAUAUGAGCAAGUUGUGCUAAAAAAAACUUUUUUACAGUUGUAGAUGUGUAAAAAUCUGGUAUAAUUAAAGCAAUCUUUCGUUUCUGUUUCUCUAAACAUAUCAACCUGGUCAUCUUUUGGCCAAACCAUUUGGGUUGCUGCCUUAAUUAGAAUCUCGCAAAGCUGAAGAACUGUCGAAUAAAGCUUUAUUAGACGAAAGUCUAACAAAAUUACAACUAAAAAUUUGAUCAUUCUAGGAGGGGAUUUAGCACAUUAAUUACCAGCGAAUUAGACAAUGUAUUCUGGCAACAAAACUGUUUUUAACUUCCCGUUUUCGAAAUCUAGCUGGCACAACCAGCUACGAAGUGUGCCUUAAGCACUAAUCUUGAAAAUUAUUCUUUACUUUUUGUUUCAAAAGAAAGAAAAAAAAAAUCUAAAAUCAAUCAACAAGAAUUGUUGAUUACAAAAAUGGAUUGAAAAUUCAUUUCGCUAUUUUUAAGAGCGUGCAAAUCAGUAAUGGACCGGUCAAAAUGCAUAAACAACAAACCCACGUCCCAAAUGAUCCAUGCAAGACGCGUAAUUAAACACAUAAGCAAGCAGUGGAUCAUUAAUCUUGCAGGGGGUAAAGUACUGCUCCAGCAUAAAGAAUCAAUGCCAACACAAGUUGAAAUUGAAUAAUAAACUCGUGCAGGACUUACCAAUUGACCAUGAACCAUGGUCUUUUAGAGUGUGAUUUUUAGUAAAAAAAAGGAAACUUAUGGUUCAAAUUAGAGCUACAACAUGAACCAAGUUACUUGAUACUUGAAUUGAACUCGACUUUAUAAGAACUCAUUCGAACUUGAUCCGCUGGCGCUAAUUAGUGAAACCAAGUUUGAAAGUUUUUUUUUUUGUUUAAUGAUUUUAAAUUCAAAGAAAAGCUCGUUUAAGUUCCCUUUGACGACUAGCUAAACAAGUCAAGUUUGAAUAAAAUUUUAAACUUAUUAAAAUAAUCACAUAAAUUUAAACACUAAAAUAUUUGAUUUGAUUAGCCUUAUUUACACUAUAAUCAGGCAAGUGAUAUGUGUUUCAGCCGGGUGAAUUCUGAAGUUCAUUUUUCAUUAUGAAUAAAUACUCAAAGUAGCAUCGGAUGGUCCUUGUACCUUAAGGCAACGGAUUAAAUAUGGUGGAAACGCAACCCAUUUCUCAAAUAAAAUGAAAAAAAAAAAUAACGAAAAGAAAUGUCGAUGCUUCUUGAUCUCGUUGUUUUUUUUUCUUAAUAUCAAGUUCUCCAAUCUGUAAUUUAUUUCUUGUUGCUCAGCACGUAUAUAGGAUAAUCAAGAUUUGUCCAGUUGGCUGCAAUCUUUAGACUUUGUAUAUGCAGAUUGUCCCAUGUGCAUGCAAUAUUACUACUAUAUUUUACCCCCGCGAAUCUCAAAGAAUGCUGAAAGUUUGCUGUUAAGUAUUACUUGAAAGUCAAAACAAUCUCCUCUUGUCUGCUCGCAGUAAAAUCUGCCACCCGAAUUAAUUUACAGCAGAACACAUGGAAGAUUAGCAAAUUAAAGAGCAACUGAGAUGAAAACGAUACAGUUACUUGCGUACUUGCUAUACUAACAAGAACCAGGCCUAAAUUCCAUUUAAAUACCAGCGAAUUAGGACUAAGUUCUCCUGUUUCCCCUCUUCUUACCUCCCAUUUCGAUCUUUGGAUCCUUUUCUUUACCUCCCAUUUAUACAUUCAUACCAUUAUUACUCUUCGGCUGGCUGCUCUUUCUCCCUCUCGGAUCAGACCCUUAUCCAUUUUAUCAAGUGGGAUUGACUUAGAUUUUCAGAAAUCCGUCCCUAUUGAAAGAAAGAAGCGAGAGCAAUUUUGAAAAAUGAGCAGAGAAAAAGUACCCAGAAAAGGUCUCAAAUCAUUUAGUACUCGUAGGAUGACGGCAUUGGCGGUUUUAGUAGUUGGAAUUUUGCAGUUAAGGUGGGUGCAGAUGGUACAUUGCCAGAACUUUGAUGACUACUACACAUAUGGAAGUGGAAAAGAUUUUCCGGUACAUAACUCAGAAUUUGUCCAGCAUCGACUUCUUUGCUUUCUACUCAAUCUGCUAACAAUCCUAUCGACUGUAUUAAGGAUGCGUAAGUUAUUUUACUAGCAUUAUAUAUUGGUUUGCUUUUGCAGUUUCCUUUUUUUUCAUUUUUUAUUGGAUUUCUAUUUUUUACUACUAGUACUUAUGAUUUUGGUUUGUGGGUUGUUUUGCUUUUUUAGGAAAGAUGAAUGGAACAGGGCGUUUAAUUUUUCCAACAAUUUGGAUUUUAUGGCUAACUGCAUUACCAAAAUCAGAGGUAUAUAUGAAUUCUGGGUGUGCUAGUUCUUGAUAUCAAGAAAUGGAGGAGUUUGCAAUUCAGAUAAUUAUUAGCUAGGGUUAAAAGCGUUAAAUCCCCACGAACUUUACCUUUAGUCGCAUGUUUACCCCAAAAUCAAUGAAUAGGCACUUUGCUCUCCUAUAUUAUGUAAUUAUGUUUUAGGAUGAAAGUGCCCAUUCCAUAUUAAAUUAUUGUUUUAUUCUUUUUUCUCCUUUUUUGUGCUUUUUCUACUUGUCCCUUUUCUUUAUCUUUUUUUUUUUAAUUUUCUUUCUUCUCGCAUGUGAUCUACUACGUCUUCUCUUUGUUAUUAUUAUCUAUAUAUUAGUUUUUGUUUUCUUAGACUUAUUCUUUAUUUAUUUCUAUCUUUUUUACUUUUUGUUAUUGGAAAUUAUAAUGAUCACAAAUAUGCGCAUAGAUUAUUUCAUAUAUUAUUUCUAUCAAUACAUUUAGAGUUUAGAAUAAAUUAAUUUUUAUUAACAACGGUAACAAAUUCAGAUCAUAAUAACAUAGUAGUUAAUCAAUUAUACAUAAAAAUGAAUAAAAAUAUUAGUUACAUUAUUUUUUGGGAUAUUUUUUUUAAAUAUUAAGUAAUUUAAAGUUCUAGUUUACUAAUAUCUUUUUAAAUAAUUAAAUUACUAAUAAUAUAUACUUUUUGAUUAUGACAGGCAUAUAUCAGUUUUUUUACGCUAAUAGUUUGUCUUGAAUUUCUAAUAGUGUAAAUAUAUAAAAUAAGAAUGAAAUUAUAAGAAAAAGAUAAUUACAAUAUUAUAAUAAGUAAACAAAUUAGUAAUAAUAAUAGAAAAGUGAAACAAAAUAGUGACAUGAAAGAAGUGUAAAAAUGAAAAUAGUAAGAAAAGAAAAUAUAAAAAUAAAAAAGUAGUGGAAGAGAAAAAAACAAGGGGAUGAAUAAACAAAAAAGAAAUAAAAUAAAAUAGUAAGGGCACUUUUGCCUUAAAAUAUCAAAUAGGGGGGCAAAGUGCUCAUUUAAUGAAUUCAAGGAAACAAAGCACAACUAUUGGUAGAGUUUAAGGGGGGUUUAGCACAUUUAACCCUACUAACUAUUCAGGGGGAUGAUAGCUUGAUAUUGUUGGUUACUUUUUAACUAAUGCUUAAAAAAUUCCUUCCGAAAUACUAUGCAAUUGGUUAUUUGAUCUGGAAUCCAGAUUAGAACAGAAGGUGUCUUUUUUUUUUAAAAAAAAAAUCCGCUGUUUAGGAAUUGAUCACGUUUAUCAAAAUUACUAAUAUGACACUAGAAAAUAUGCACUUCCAGUUGUUAAUGCGAAUAAAUUUGAAAAUUAAAAUUAAAAAUCAGGCCCUUUCUAUACUUGAGUUUCUUUCAAUCGAUUAGUUGUGGGUUAAUUUGUAGUAUUAUUGAGUUUUAAAGUUUCUUCAUCAAUUUUUUUUUUGGUUUUUUGGUAAGUGGGUAAUGAGGACCUCCUACUUAUAAUUCUUUCUAUUUUAUCACCCAAUUCAACCCUUUUCCAAAGGUAUGUUUUGAUCUUCUCUGUUGUCUUCCAUCCAUCACGGGAAAAAAUCAAUCACCACAAAAAAGAAAGUACUAUUUUUUUCUUUUUCCUUUUUUACUUAGAUUAUCAAAAAGUACUUUAUGGUUAAGUAAUGGGGUUGAAGGGUGGUGUAUUCACCAAAUUGACUUGUGAGUGGAUAGAUACAACGCGGAGAAAGGGUUUGUUAGGGAUUUUUUUUAGCCUGAGUUUCAUGUGAUUACGGGUUGCAAAAGUUGAGUUUUGUCAAAUUCCAACUGGUUCAUCCAAUUCUUUACACAUUUAAUGUAAAUUAGUUUAGUUUAGGUGUAAUUAUAAAAUUUAUACUAAUUUACUUAUACGAAUUGACAAAUUCAAAUUAAAUCUAAGAAAUUUGAAUUAAACCCAAUUUGCACAAACUUAUAUCAAAAAAAUAUAAGAAUUAUAUCAAUUGAUUUGAAUUGAAUAACUCCCAACUUGUGAGGCUGGUGAUGGACAUCGUUAUUACAAAGUUGGCCAAUGAAUGUAGUGAUUCCUUAAAAUGUGGUGAUCUUUGGAUUGGUAAAAUUAUUUCAUCAAAAAGCCAUUAAAUAGAGGGAACUCAAUUUAAAGUCAUAAAAUGUCAAAGUGUAGUAUAUAGCCAGACUCUGGUAUUCUUGAGGUCGUUCGACACUUAAGCUUCCUUUUAUAUUUUAGUUUUAUUUUUAAAAUAUAUUUCCCCUUUGCUUGUGAUUGUGAGAUUAGGGGUGUAAAUUAAUUAAACUACUCAAUUCGGACUUGCGAGUAGUUUGGUUUGAGUUCAAAUUACUUGAUAAGGUAAUCGAAUCGAGUUCAAGAAAUAAAAUAAAAUUCGAGUACUCAUAAAAUCUUAUCGAGUAGUAUAUUUAUAAUAUAAUUUUUAAUUAUGUAUUAUAAAAUUAUGAAAUUUACUAAAAAAUUGAGUUUAAAAUCUUGAUUGAACUCAAUUACACUCGAUUGAGUUCGAUUUGGUCAAGUUCAACGUCGAGCUUGAGAAAGGUAAAAUAAAUUUAAAUUUGAACUCGAAUUCAAGUUCGAAUAAUUUUACUGGAAUAGAGUUCGAAUAAUAUUCUAUUCAAACUCGACUCCACUUGGCCUUCAGUGAUUCGGCUUUCAUAUCUUUCUCCUUUCUCCUCGUGCUAGUAAGGUUUAGAGGCUCCCCUUACACAAAAAAAAGUGUUGGCCUAAAAAAACUUUAAGUUUUAACACUCUCCCGUAGCUUUAGCUGCCGGUACAAAUAACGGAAAAAAUACAUGGUGCUGGAGGUAGAUAACUGAAGAAUUAAUCCUACUAGGGGGAUUUUCAGUUUCCAAUGCCAGAAAGUCCAUCUCUAGAUACUGACCCUCAAAUGCUCGACAGGAGAUAUCAGGCAGCGACUGUGCACAGCUGCCGAGAUAAAAGCUUACUUGAAUGGCAUCCAACCUUUGAGUUUGUCUUUCGGAAUCCAAAGCACGAAACCUAACAACAACUGUAACACCACCUCCUGGGUUCCUGGUUGUGAGCCUGGAUGGGCAUGUCGAGCUAACUCAGAUCACCGGGUUGAUCUAACAGAUUUUCAGGGCAUACCAGCCAGAACUCUCGACUGUCAAUCCUGCUGUGCCGGUUUUUUCUGCCCUCGUGGCCUCACUUGCAUGAUACGUAAGCACACAAGAACAUUCUAUUAUUCUAGUACAUGAAUUCUUUUAAAGUUUUUUUUCCCAUAAUUGCAACUUCCUAUAGUUCCUGCAGAUGAUAAAUGAGACUCAUUUUCUUAACUCUUUUGACUUUAAGCUUCUUUCUGAAGCAAUCUUAAGAAAUGUUAGCGCGUACUUCUUCUAUAACCUUAAGUGAAUUUAGAGUAAUCUUCCACAUUGACACUAGCAAUGCUGUUUAUUCUUGUUUAAUUUACUAAGAAUUUUGAUUUAGCAUUGUAUAACGCCAUUAACAUCCGGUACAUUUUAUCAGCGACCAUGCAUGUUUAUGCAUUUAACAUUCUUCCAAAAAGUCGAGUUCUUGUUCAACCAGAGUUUCCUUUAUAGCCUUUCUCAUUCCUUUCCUCUUCCUACCCAUGUAUCUUAGUCGAAACCAACUGCGCAGUCGAUCAUUCGUGAUAUUAUUGGAUGAACUAUCCAUUGCACUUCAAGUAUUCCUAAAUAUAGGCUGUGUUUGGAAACAUCCCUCAAACCUGCAGUUUUCUAUUUCAAGAACUUAAUCACUCGUUCUGUGUUGACUUCUUACUUCUUCCAUGGCGCUCCUACAGUGCCUCCUUUCUUUGUACCAGGAUAAGAUGUAGUUGAUGCUCUGUCCGCCUGCGCUAAUUAUUGAACGAGUUUUGAUGCUUGUUUACAACAUUAAGCUCCAAAAUUAUUUAUUCUUUGAUUGCUAAAGAGUAAGAAGCUUUCUCAUAUGAUCUUUUUGUGCAUGUGAAGCAUGCCCGUUGGGUUCAUACUGUCCACUAGCUACACUUAAUAUGACUACUGGCAACUGUGAUCCGUAAGUUCUGAUUCUUGUUCCAACAAUUCUUACAGGCUUUCUUUCUCUAUCUUGUUCUCCAUUUAAGAUUAUUGAUGGUCUUCUUCAGGUAUGAUUACAAAUUACCACCUGGACAGCUGAAUCACACCUGUGGUGGAGCAAAUACGUGGUCAGAUUUACACUUUAGUAGUGGCAUAUUCUGUCCAGCAGGAUCAUAUUGUCCAACCACUACAGAGGCAAAAGCUUGCAGCACUGGGUACUAUGUUGAUCCUUUAUCCACAAUGCUUGUCUUUAGUUCCUGUAAUUUGAAUUCUAGCUUGUUUAAAAAAAAAAAAAAAGUUAUUUGGAAGCAUGAAAUAGUUUUGGAAUGGGAGUAUAGAAUAUACUUUGAAACAUUUAAUGGAAUGGCAAACUAGAUAUGCAAGUGAAAUACUAAAAGAAGGUUAUGCUUCCAUUUUACCAUUAAAGAUCAACUCCAAUGAAUGGAUUAGUUUCAAAAAAUUCUCAACUAAUUCUGUAAAGUUAUUUGAUUCUCUAAACAUGAUUACUAAGAGUUUUAAGCAUGUAGCAUAAGUUUAUCACAAUUUUUGUCCUAUACUUUGAAAUUUAUUUUGGAGAAGCACAUGCAAGAAGCAGUUUAAGCAUGAUUACUAAGAGUUUUAAGCAUGUAGCAUAAGUUUAUCACAAUUUUUGUCCUAUACUUUGAAAUCUAUUUAGGAGAAGCACAUGCAAGAUGCAGUUUCCGACAACUAUGAUUUGCACUAUUGUUUUUGUAAGUAGAUGUGUACCUGAUUAUCAGCAGUAACGAUGAUAUUUGAGUAAUUGGUGCCUAUGAUUUCUUAAUAUUCCCGUUAUUCUUGUUAUAAAGUUUUAUAUUGCUGGAGUUGAUAUACAACUAUGUUCUCUUGAAAAUCCAGGAAUUACUGUCCUAGGGGUUCUACAGCUGAGAAACGUAAGUUCAGAAAAAAGUCUGACCCAGAUUGUGAUAAGUUUUUUUUUUUUUUCUAAAAAUCAUUGCUCAGUGGAGUGAUGUCUUGCAAAUUAAACUUGCAGAAUGCUUCAAGUUGGCUACAUGUGGUCCAAAUACAGCAAAUCAAAAUAUUCAUGUACAUGGACUAAUGCUUGUAGUAAGUUGUUCCUUUUUCUUGACUAUGUUGGGUCCUUUGUCUUUUAGGGGAAGUCAAAUGCGGGAGGUUCUUUUACUCUGACUUGUACAUGAAUCAUUUUAGAAGGUGAGAGUGAGCUUAACAGUUUCAAGUUAGAUACUGCUACAGCUAUAGUAGCUGUCCUGAAGAUGCCAGAGAGCUCAUGUUUCAGCAUCUCCGUUGUUAUUGGCUUUGCUUUCUGAUUGUCGGGGCACUUGUAGUCUUGGCGACUUGUUAGGAUCACAUUCUAUCACAAUAAACUGUUUAAGCAUUUAUAAUAUCCGUCAUUGAGCCUUGGGCAGCACCUGCAUUCUGAUUGGUGAAAGAUUUUGCUUGCCCGGCCAUCGCCUCAAAGUCCCUGUAUUCUUUCGCUAUUGAAUCUACAACUAAAAAAAAACUUAUUUAUCAUAAUUGCAGGCUGGUUUGAGUAUUCUUCUUUUUAUUGUCUAUAAUUGCUUUGACCAAUCCAUCACAAUUCGAGAGAGGAGAAGGGCCAAGUCCAGGGAAGCAGCAGCUAGAAGUGUAAGAGACAAGGUUCAAGUGCGUGAAAGGUGGAAAGCUGCAAGGGAUGCAGCUAAAAAGCAUGCAGCUCAAUUGCGUACUGAAAUAUCUCAGAGAUUCUCUAGCAGGAAAGUCAGCGUGGAAAUUGAGAAUGUUAUGACAUUGAACAUAGUGGAACUUGGAGUAGAUAAGGAGUUAUAUCCUGCCAUGGAUGCUAUUACUUUUGGUGCAUCAGAGCAAUCACGUGCUUCAUCUGAAGGGAAGAAAGUAGAAGGGGAUGAUCUCAUGAGAAUGAUGCAUGAAACUGAAGACCAUUCUGAUAGUUUCUCAAGUUUCAGGGUGGAAGAUAGAAAUAGCAAAUCAAAAGCCGCAAAGGAAAAAGAAUUACGUACUGAGAGCCAAAUCUUCAAGUAUGCUUAUUCACAACUUGAGAAAGAGAAAGCUCAGCAGCAGCAGACCAGAAAUUUAACCUUCCCAGGAGUAAUUCAAUUGGCAGUCGAUACUAACACGAGAAAAAGACCUAUUAUUGAGAUUGCUUUUAGAGACUUAACUGUUACUCUGGAAGGAAUGAAAGGGAAAAACAAACAUAUUUUGAGGUCCAUUACUGGAAAUAUUAUGCCUGGCCGUAUUACAGCUGUAAUGGGCCCGUCAGGGCCUGGAAAAACAACUUUUCUCUCUGCCCUGGCAGGAAAAGCAGUUGGCAGCAAAGUAAAUGGUUUGAUUCUUAUAAAUGGAAAGACAGAAUCAAUCCAUUCAUACAAGAAAAUAGUUGGUUUUGUUCCUCAGGAUGAUAUUGUGCAUGGAAAUUUGACUGUGGAGGAGAACUUGUGGUUCAGUGCAAGAUGCAGGUAUGUGAUGUCCAAUUCUCUUGCACCCUAUAUGGUUGUUUUUCUGUAUAACAUCUAAACAAAAAUUUCUUGUCUAAAUAUUGUUGAUUAAGAAUAAUUGAAACCAUCAGGAGCAGAAACAGUUUAGGUGGUUUAUAGAGGCUAAUUUGUGUCCAGUUCGAAGAGUAUCUGAUUCAUCAAGGCAAAAUUGCCUUGAAACAUUUUUGUGUUGGAAACGUGUAUAAUUAAUUGCAUUACUAUUGUUACUAUUAUUACUUUUUUUUUUGGGAGAAUUGGCUUGUCAAUAAUCUGACAUAUGAAAUUGCAACAAACCAUGAAACUUUUCUAAUUAUUCAUCUUCAUGAUCUCUCCAUUGCCUUUCUAUUGCUAAUAGCAACUCCUGCAGCUUAAAAUUUCACUAUUUAACUGUUCUGUACUUCUUAAAAUCAUUGAAGGCUUUCAGCAGACUUGCCAAGGCCACAUAAGGUUUUUAUAGUUGAGAGGGUUAUUGAUCUCUGGGGUUGCAAGCAGUUCGUGAUUCACUUGUUGGAACAGUAGAAAAGAGAGGAAUAUCUGGAGGUCAAAGGAAAAGAGUAAAUGUUGGUCUGGAGUUGGUAAUGGAACCUUCACUUCUCUUUCUAGAUGAGCCGACAUCUGGAUUGGAGAGCUCAACUUCCCAGCUACUUCUUUCAGCACUUCGGCGGGAAGCUCUUGAGGGGGUCAACAUCUGCAUGGCUGUUCACUAACCAAGGUAACUACAUCAAUCUUAUGAAUACUUGAUGGUAAUUUCCUUUUUCUUUUGGUUGGACUUGUUUGUCAUGUAUCACUAUGGUAACGAUUUCUUUACUUCAACUCAUUUGCUCAUGCUAUUAAGAAUCUUUAGCAUACAUUUAGGAACUUCUAUAGCAUUAUUCUUAUGGAAUAUGCAAACGAAAAUCAGACAAUUGCAUCCGAGGAACAUUUGUGGACUGCUUGGGAGCAGAAGCUCCCAUGUUUACGAAGUAGUUAGUUAUUAACAAAAUGUCCUAGAAAUCUCAAAUUACGAGGGCAUCAGUUUUUCCAUUUUUUUUCCAUUUGGUACGACUGUUUGGAUACUUUUAUUCUCCUAAUUUUCAUUGAUUAUAUUCUAGUUUCAGCCACACCUUAUUCAAGAUGUUUGAUGACUUGAUACUUCUAUCAAAAGCUGGUCUCACCGUCUAUCAUGGUUCAGUCAGCACAGUUGAAGACUACUUCACCAGCCUUGACAUCCGAGUUCCUGACAGAGUUAAUCCCCCGGAGUACUUCAUAGAUGUUUCGGAGGGAAUAGUCAAACCAGACACAAGCUUCAUUUUGAGUCACGAAGAGCUCCCUAAAAGAUGGAUGCUUUACAAUGGUUAUCCUGUGCCUUCUGACAUGCAACAGUAUUCUGCUGGCGUUACUGCAUCUCCAUCAAAUAUACAAUUUGGUAAUCAUGAGAAUUCUCCUGAAAUUAGAAACAAGGAACAAUCUUUUGCUGGGGAAAUGUGGCACGAUGCGAAGUCUAACAUGGAACGGCAGAAAAGUAUUAUGGGGCACCGUUUCUUGCGGUCAAAGGAUUUGUCAGAGCGGAGAACUCCCAAUGUGGUUCUACAAUAUAAGUACUUCCUUGGAAGGUACAUAACAAAAUUUCAUCAAUCUUCUUCGACGUUAAUUGACUUUCAUGAAACCCACUCAGCCCGGAUAAAACAGGCCAAAUUUGAAUAAACAGGAGACUGAGGGAAGGGGGAACAGUGAGAAAUAUUAGGCCUUACCUUGCAUGAAGAGAAGUUAUUUACAUGUGCUGAAACUGUGAACUCUAUCAAUGGUAUCAAUGGCAGAGAUUGUGGCAGAUUAUAUGGCAGAGGUUAUGGGAAAGAUUAUGGCAGAUUAUAUGGCAGAGGUUAUGGGAAAGAUUAUGGCAGAUUAUGACAGACAUUAUGGCUACAAUCUGUAUAUAUUUCUUACCUAGAAUAGAAAAUCAGUUACCAUAGCUGUAUAUUAGGUCAAUCAAUCAAGUAUAUAUAGGGGUUUACCAAAAAUAGAUUGUACAGGAAUUCUUAUUUAAUAGAAAGGACCAGGAAGAGGAACGGCAUCCGAUUCCAGUCAAUUUACUCAAAUUUUGUCAUGGUAUCACAGCCUACCUUUUGAAUCUAUAAGAUAUUUUGAGUAUUUUUUUUCUUUAGCUUUUUGGGUUGAUUUCUAAUCAACAUUCUGGUUUUGAUAUUUCUUAGUUUAUCAAUCUGUGAUUUCGGAUUUGCAUUUGAGUUUUGUUAAGAAUGGCUGCUGAGAAUUCUUUUGGAAGACAAUCUGCAGAGACUUUGGGUAUCAGACUUACAGGGAAGAAUUAUGCAACAUGGGAAUUUCAGUUCAGAAUGUUUCUGAAAGGGAAGGAGCUUUGGGGUCACAUUGAUGGGUCUUCUACUGCUUCUGGAACUGAGAAAGAAAUAAGUCAAUGGGAAUCAAAUGAUUCACGAAUUAUUUCAUGGAUUUUAGCAUCCAUUGAACCUCAUAUGGUGAACAGCUUACGUUCAUUUAAUACUGCAAAGGAGAUAUGGAAUUUUCUGAAACGCAUAUAUCAUCAACACAACACUGCAAGACGAUUUCAGCUUGAACUUGAUAUCAGUAAGUUCAGUCAAGGUAAUCUGUCUAUUGAGCAAUAUUAUUCUGCAUUUCUAAAUCUGUGGGGUGAAUAUUCUGAUAUCAUCUACUUUGAGAUACCUAAGGAGGCCUUAGCAAGCUUUCAAAAAGUUCAUCAAGUUAGCAUGCGUGAUCAGUUUUUGAUGAAACUGAGGCCAGAAUUUGAGACUGCUCGGGGUGGAUUGCUGAAUCGAAAUCCAGUUCCUUCUUUGGAUGUGUGUGUUGGUGAAUUGUUACGGGAAGAACAAAGAUUGGCUACACAGUCAAUUCUAAGUGCAGCUGGUGGGACAUCAGAGGUUGUCAAUGUUGCUUAUGCUGCACAAGAAAGGAAUAGAGGAAAGGGACAAAUGUAGUGCUACAGCUGCAAGGAGUUUGGCCAUAUUGCUCGCAAUUGUGGUAAGAAAUUCUGCAGUUACUGUAAGCAAAGUGGACAUAUUCUCAAGGAAUGUCCUACACGUCCGGAAAACAGGCGAGCCCAAGCUUUUCAAGCUACUGUUCCAGAUGCUCCUGUUAUUGGUCCUACAUCUACCACCAGCCAGACUGUUCUGACCCCAGAAAUGGUCCAGCAGAUGAUUCUUACUGCAUUUUCUGCCCUUGGACUUCAAGGUCAAGGUAAGCCAGCUUCAUCUACUUGGCUUAUCGACUCAGGAGCGACCAAUCAUAUGACUGGUUCAUCUGAUUUUUUACAAAAUUUGCGGCCAUAUACUGGUUGCCAAAAUAUUCAGAUUGCUAAUGGUAGUAAUCUUCCAAUUACAGCUAUUGGUGAUAUUGGACAUUCUUUUCGCCAUGUAUUUGUUGCUCCUAAGUUGUCUACUAAUUUAAUCUCUGUUGGACAGCUAGUGGAGAAUCAUUGUGAUGUACAUUUCUCUCGUGGUGGUUGUCUUGUGCAGGACCAGAUGUCGGGGAAGGUAAUCGCGAAGGGGCCUAGAGUGGGAAGAUUAUUUCCAUUGCAAUUUACUAUUCCUAGAACUUUAUCUUUAGCCUCUAUGAUUGUUGACAAUAAGGCUGAAAUUUAGCAUAGACGAUUGGGUCAUCCAAAUAAUGUCAUUUUAUCUGAUUUAAUAAAGCGUGGUUUUCUUGGUGCUAAAGAUCAAGGUUUUGCUCAUGCAUCAUCUCUUGGUUGUUCUGUGUGUAAAUUGGGGAAGAGUAAGAUGUUACCUUUUCCUACUUCUGUUGGUUGUGCUAGUGCAUGCUUUGAGAUAAUACAUAGUGAUGUUUGGGGUAUUACUCCUGUCAUUUCACAUGCGCAGUAUAAAUACUUUGUGACAUUCAUUGAUGACUAUAGUCGGUUCACAUGGAUAUAUUUCCUGCGCACUAAAGCUGAGGUGUUUACUGUUUUUCAAACCUUUGUGGCUUACAUUGAGACACAGUUUUCCACUUGUAUUAAGAUCUUACGGUCUGAUAAUGGUGGGGAAUAUGUGUCAUAUGACUUCCAAGCCUACUUGCAACGCAAAGGGAUUGUAUCUCAGAGAUCAUGUCCUUAUACCCCUCAACAAAAUGGGGUGGCUGAACGCAAAAACCGCCAUUUGUUGGAUAUGGUUCGAACAUUACUCUUGCAAUCUUCUGUACCCCCUAGAUUUUGGGUUGAAGCUUUGUCAACUGCUGUGUAUUUGAUUAAUCGAUUGCCUUCUCAACAAUUGGGUUUUGAUUAAAUCUUUUGGUUCAGAAGCAAAUUCCUGUUAGUUGUGAAGGGUUUGCUGGCCCUUUAUACAUGUCUUAACAUUUGGAACUUGCUAAAUGUCUUAAUAUUUAGAAAAUUGAUUAAAUUUCUUUAUCCUUCACCAAGCACACAUUGUGAUGUUACUCACGGACAUACUGAUCUCAGGGUUGGCAAGCAACGAUUACGUGAAGCCAGAAUGCAAGCUAUAGAUUAUCUCAUUCUGUUGCUGGGGCCAGCUUGGGAAUACUUGGCAAAGAAAGCGAUUAUCAGUUCGGACUGCAUGGUUACAAUUAUACUAUUAUUGCUGUUUGUAAGUUGAAAGGACCAACUACCUCUUACUCCAUGUUAAUAUUGUUCUUGCUUUACUGGCCAUUUCAAUUGCCUCACAAGAGUUAGAAGUUGCAAUUCUUCGGUACUGAGAUAUGUCCCGAAGUAUGACUAGACUUCAUGAUAAUAGGUGCACAUAUGGGACAAAUUCUGCAAAAUUUCUCAUUAUAGCUCACUGUAUUCUACUUUUUGUCUAAUUUCAGCUCUUUUAUGCAAAAUCGUGGCUUUGAGAUCAUUUUCACUGGACAGGCUACAAUACUGGCGAGAAAGUGCUUCAGGAAUUUCUAGCCUGGCUCAUUUUGCUGCUAAGGAUACAGUAGACCUAUUUAACGUAGCCAUCAAGCCUGUUAUCUAUCUUUCAACGUAUGACCUUUCUUUGAAUUGUUCUAAAUUUGAUUUCUUCAAUUUGACCUGUUAUUUUUUGACCGUUUGCAGUGUUCAGUGUUUCUUUCUGUGGUUUUGACUCUUAUUGCAACUACAACCAAAGAUAAUAAAGUGUAUAAGCUUAUAGCUAACUUGUGUUAUCCAAAGUGGGCUUUAGAAGCAUUUGUUACUCAAAAUGCAGAAAGGUAUGGUCCUUCCAUACAAGGUUAAGACUUCCAUCGAUUAUAAUUCUUGAUGCCUGCUUUAGUGCAUAAAACGAGAAAACUGCAGCUAGUCUCAAUUGUGCAAGUCUUAUAUCUCUUGAUAUGACUGUAAUUCUAGAAGAAAUUUGUCUACAUAGUUCUAAUAAUCCCUAAAGUAAUUAUGUUACACAUGUUCACUAAAAUGCAAACCCUACCAGAUGAGAUCUAGAACUGAAAAGAAAAAAAACAGAUAGAAGAGAUGCAGCUAAAUAACCAAGUUGAGUUUAACUCUCAAAUGAAUGGAUUUAACUAACACAUAUGCAUGUCUUCUUAGGAAUUAUAACAUUGUGACUUGUGAACCAGACAGAAAUAUGUCUCAUCAUAAAAUUUUGGUUAAUUAUCAGGUACUAUGGUGUGUGCAUCAUGACUCGCUGUAGUUUACUCAAAGAUGUGGGAUAUAAUCUCCAUGACUGGAUACUUAAUUAGUAUAGCUGUUCUAAUCCUCAUUGGCAUUGCUAGUCGUGUCAUAGCUUUGCUAGUCGCAAAUUUGAUGUCUGUAGUAUAAAUUUAUAUUCUAAUGUGGUUUUCCUUGUAAAGUCCAGAUAUUAACAUUCAUUUACUGUAUACAAAAUCAAGAUAUUAACAUUCAUUAAAAUCCAGAUAUUGAUUCCUUUACUGUAUACAAAACAGUAGUCAAAAUUUCACCCCUUUGUUUUCAAAGUUGGAACCUUCUGAGAAUCGAACAAGCUUUGCCUGCUAUAGCUCUCUAUUGUUUCCAGGAAUUAAUUUCGAUGGGUUUAAGAGCUUGGACGUACGGGACAAUGUAAAAGUACAUGGUAAUACUUCAUGGGGCAAAAAAUAAAUGAUUUAAUCAAAGACAUUGUGUUAAAAAGAGUUUAAUAUGUUGAGGUUGAAAGAUACUUUUUAUGAGACCGUUUGUUUGGGUUAAUUCCUUUGUUUAUUGUUAAAAAAAAUCGUAAAAAUGUUGACCUAACAUGAAGUAAUAUAGAACUAUACCUGCCGGGCCUAUAGGCAAAGCAAUUUUUUUUUUUUUAAACUGUUGGGUUGCUCAGCCCGGCAGCCAAUUGGAAAUUUUCCUAUUGUAUCAAAGUAAAUAUAGUACUCCCAUCUUAAGUAGCAUUACUAGAAAGAGUGGGAAGGGAGAAGCAAGGCUCGAAGAAUAAGCCGAGCUGUGCAAGGACGUGGAGAUAUAGACCGAUUACAACGAACUCACGAAUUUAAUAGAAACAAAAGAUAAGCCCUUUGCUCUAGUUUACUUGCAACGCUCAAGUCUCAACAUAAAAGAGUAUUACAGCCUGUGUAGACAUACAUCUCAACGAACUCAAUUCCAUCAAACCUCAACCUGAGGACAAUCUCUCGAGUAUCAUUUUUGGAUCUAAUGGAAUUCAUAGGUAUAGGAAGAAGAAGUCCUGUCAAAUAGAGAUUUUUAUUUUUGACCAUAUGUGGAUUGUUACAAGUACCACUUCUGCAAAGAGUACUAUACUCUUGAUCGUGAAUUAUCGAUUACUUAUUGAACUUCGUGAAUUGCAAUGUCUUUGGAUUCCGAUUGAACUUGUUUUUAUUAUAUUGAGGUUUUUUUCUUCAUAUUUGAGAAUUGAAAGUGAAAAUCUUUUUCUUUUGAUGGUAAUUAGAAUUGCUCGAGUUUUGCUUUUUCCAGUAUAUAUUAUGCUCAGUUAUUCAAGAAAUUAGUUGACAAAUAGCAAUCAUCUAAUAUGUAUCGAGACAGGAGACAUAGUGUAAUGGGAGGAGCCCGAUUCAGAGCCUAUUACCCGGUCUCCUGAUCAACUUGAUCAGCAGUAUAUAAAUGGAGGUUUUUGCAUGACAGAACUUUGACAGCCUACGUGAAGGAGUCUUUAGUAUUUUUACGUGAUGAAUGUACUCCGUAGCCUUGUAUAACUUAGACACUCCCGAAAUUAUUUUCAUAAUUUGUAGCAAUACUCAUAAUUAAUACAUAAUCAAAAUACAACCAUUCUGGUGCCUAAAUGAGAGAGGGGGGAAAAAGGGUGCUUAAAAGAUUAAUGAUUCCGAAAUAAACCUAAUGCUUUUGACUGCUAUAAAUCUCCAGCAAUUAUAUAUGUUCGAUCAUUCUGGGAGGGGAUUUACUACAGCUCCAACGAAGAGGACUAAUCCAGAUGUCUCUUCUUUGACGAUGAACAUGAAAGGAUGGUCAGCUACAAAAGUCUUGAUUUCUCGCUGUAUUGCUUCGGGUGCACAGCCCUCUAUUGCACUAAAAGUGACGGCUGCUGCCUCUGUGCCUUUCUCAUCCACCUCGAUAAAAGCUUUGUGAAUUAUUUUUGAAAUGAAAGGCGGAUCUCUAGCAUGAAUCAUCUCUGUCAGCUCCAUGUCUUGUUCCAUGAAUGGAAAUUUAAUUUCCUCAAGAACGCUUGAGAAUUUGAUUUUGGGUAUCCGCACGACAUCAACAAGUGUUCUCUCAAGCUCGAAAUGGGGGCUUAUAAACCCGGAAUUGAACUUCAAUACUAGAUCCUGCAAUCCAUCUAUCUUGUGUGGGAGGAUCAACUGCAUUGAAAAUCUCUUCUUGUCUCCGAUGUUGCCGCUUUUAUAGGGAAGCUCGAUGACUUUAAAGUCAUCAAAUGAUCCGUACAGAUAAUGUCUUGAAAUGCCCAUGAAGGGAACAGAAACCUUGUCUCCACCGAGAAGGGAGAAGUUCUGAUUCCGAGUCCUUGUAAUAUCAAAUUCAUCUGCCCAAUAUCCUUUGAAGUAAAGAGCAUUUCCUAGUAUAAGUGCGGUAACAGGGCUAAUGUGGCCACGUUGAAGAACAUCUUUUAUGAGGCCAUUCGUUUGCAGGUCUGCCCAUGAGUUUAUUUCUUUGAUGGCUUUAUCGGCCUACACAAAAUCGUUGAGUCCAACAUAAAACAACAUUAUCAAGACAAAUUCAGCAAGAAUAGUUUUUCAUAGGUUAACUGAUUGACUUAAUGCACGAAGUUACAAAAGAGGAAUUGGGCAGAUUUUUGUAAUCAACAGUACUAAAGGUAAUUAAACAGCAUAAUUGAUCAACUAGAUAUGCACACAUGCCCUUAUCAUACAUAUAUAUAGAGCUGUUAAACGAAUCGAACUGUUUGGUAGUUCGGUUCGUUUCGACAUAUUCGUAUUCGUGAAAGACUCGUUCGAAAUUUUAAACGAAUCGAGUUCGAACGAUUUUUUUUGUUCGAUUAAUAAUCAAGCGAACAUGAGCAUGUUCGCGAGUUUUAACGAACGUUCGCGAACAUGAACAUAAUUAUCAUUUGACAAAUUUUAGGGUUAAUUUUAUGGCUAGACUUUUGUAUUUGGAGGGUUUUAUUUGUUAUUUUUAUGUUAAUGUUAGUUAUAUAGUUAAUGAAUAAUAGAAUUUAGUCUCUUAGUGCUUUAAUUAUUUUUUAGAAUGAUUAAUGAUUUGUAUGGCAUAUUUAAGGUUUAAAAUAAUUUGGAUUCGAGUAUUUCGAGAAUGUUCUCGAACGGCUCAUUUAUGUUAAAUGAGUCGAACACGAACUCGAAUUCAAACAUAAACUUUGCUUAACGAGCCGAACACGAACACAGGUUUGGAGUUUGAAAAUUAACGAACGAACACGAACGUUGUUCGAAUCGCUUAACGAACAGAACUCAAACAUGAAAUACUCGAUUCGAUUCGACUCGUUUACGUCUCUAUACAUAUACAUAUCAGCCUAUUAUGCAUACAUGCACUUAUCCACAAUUUUGUAGUUUGUACCUGUCCCUUUUUUUUUUUUUUCUUACUUUCCCACUAUGAGUUUCAUCAACCUAAUCACCUUAAAAAUGAGAUUGAUGAUGGGAAUUCUCCCUUUUCAUCAUACUAAUAUCGUACACCAUUCACUAACCCUAACAAACUACUAUUUUACUUUUCGUCCCAACAUAAUAGCCAAAAAAAAAAAUACAAGAGUCAGCAACAGAAGAGAGAAGACCAGUCACAUAGUAACACGUACUUUUUGGAAAUCCACGUUUUUGGCAUCUGAUUUGAAGACGUUAGUAACACAGUCCUUGUACGAGGGCUUGAGGGGAAAACGAGAAUCCACCCAAACUCCAUUGACGAAUGAGAUCUUUGGAGGACUACUACUACCACCACAACCUCGAUAACGACGGUAGCUAUUACUCAUGCCACUGCAGGCGGAGGAGGAAGGGGAGGAGGAGGAGGAGGAGGAAGUUGCAAUAGACAUCAUCUGCGAAAACAUCGACUUGAGCUGCUCCAAAUCGUCGCAUCCAACAAAGCUGAGUACACGCUUCAGAGAGCGUCCUGAACAUCCCGUGGCCAGCAUGGCUGCUAUGGCGUUCAAGGACAGCGGAGACAGCACAAUAUUUUUCGAGAACCCAUUGCUGCGGAGGCUACUUUGCACAAGAUUUGCAGCAAAAGGAAGACAAGGAUUCAUGUUUUUUUUUUUUUCCUUUUUUUCUCUUGUGCGUGAUGAGAGGUUUUUUUUUGAGUGUAGGGCUUUUUGGAGGAUACCUGAGGAUGACUUGUCGUGCAAAUCGUAUGACCAAGUAGCGUAAAGACUUGCAAGCAAUGGAUCCCAAUUAGCGGCACAGAUCUGUCGGCUGACGUAGCUUCAGAUCUGAACCGCAGAAAAUUUGUUUGUUCUUGAGUUCAAACACAUUUCUCUGCCAUUCUUUGGAGGACAAACAAUUCCAUCGAAAGUGGGAUAAAAUAUUUUUUUUUUGCACUAAAAUAAAUUGAAAUUAACUAUUUUAGAUUUGGUAUACUGUGUGUACAAUUGGCUAAAGAAGUUUUAAUAUAAGUGAUUUUAUUGUUCAAGUUUUAAGCCGUGUUUUGAAAGUCGUAUUCUCGAGGCGAGGUGUUUCUGAAUUACCCUUGGGCGGUCAAAUGGGGGUUAGUGUCCGGGCGAAUGCCCACGCAUUCUUGCGAGUUUUUUCUUUACAAUGUAAAAAUUGUGUGCUUUUAAAAUUUCAGCACUUUUUUCUCUUUUUUAAACUCCAAAAGAAUAUCUAAACUGGAUUUUCUCUUCACUUGUUUAAGGAAGUUGAGACCCUCAAGGUGAAUUUGCAAUUUCUAAAAAAAAUUUCUUAUGUUAGCUUACAAAUUUAAGUUGAUGAACAUGGAUGUUAGUUUGGAAUUUAAUAAUACAAAGGAGGUGAAAUUUUAAAACUUUGUGCUUCACAUUGAAGAUAUUCUAAAGAAAUAGGGGAAAGACACUGGAUUUGAUAGUCAAAACUCACAAAUAUCAUUUGCUAGUGCCCUGGAAAAGAGUUCUCACAACUGCGAUCAUUUGUUUGGGGGAUGACAUCAAGUCUUUUAUGCAAAUAAUCAUCAAAAUUUAUAGUGGUUUGUUGGGUUUCCGCUUAUGGCAUAACAUUAGUCAUACAAGUAGGUUUUACUUUUAGUCAUACAAACAAGUUUUACUUUUUUUAUGCAGACACAAGGUUAUAUUUUUUUUAUUUUAUCUAAUCCUUUUUUUGGUAUUUUUAAUAUUAUACAUAUAUAUACACACACACAUGCACACAUGCUUAUACAUAUAUAUUAUAUUUUUAAAAUAUUUAAAAAUAAAAUUUGUGGGUCUUUUGCCUCCACUAGAUGGACAUAAAACAUCCUGCCCAACGCUUUCGCCUUUUAAAACACUGGUUCCAAGUAUGUAAAUUUCAAAUUGUAUAACAUAAAGACUAAGUUGACGUUUGGAUUGCGAGUUUUUGUGAUAUUUUUUUUUAUAUAUUCCUUCAAUACAUUUCUUAAUUAUUAUUUUACAUCACAUACAUCAUAUUGUUAUUUUUUUUUUUUUUUUUGCAGAAACUCUCAAGUACUCCAAUCCAAACUGGACCAAGAUGCAGGAGCACGUAGAGCUUUGUCUAGUACUAACUUUUUCUCUUCUCUAUUAUUCGAGAUACCUUUUCAUUAGCUUGCUUCCUAGUCUUAAUCUUACCUUUCCAACAGAAAUCGAGCACAAGCAAUAAUUGGACAUAGUGGACAGUGCAAAUGUAGAUUAAGAGUUUUAGGUGCCAUUUUUUUCUUUUAAGUCAUCAUUAAAAUCCAAAACGUUAAACCUAUCCGAAAGGGCUGUUUAAUCCACAACCGAUAUACAUGAAUCUUAUAAGAGAAUAUGAGAGCAUAUAUAUAUAUAUAUAUAUAUAUAUAUAUAUAUAUAUAUAUAUAUAUUAUGGGAAUAUGAAAAGCUAAAACCACUACAUGCUAACUCUCAUAAGUAACACAUAGACGGACUAAACAUUUGAAUCAAGUGUCAAUGGAAUUUAUAGGUAUAGAAACGUAGAAGCAAAGGUUGUAACUAAACACAUGGAUGUUCCACGAAAACGCAUGUAUAUGCUGGAAGGUGAUCAUUCUACCCGCCGCGGGGGGGGGGGGGGGGGGGUGUUUGGUGCUGCUCCGGGGAAAAGAGGUGAUCCGGAUAUCUCUUCUCUGACUAAAUACAUCAAAGGAUGGUGAUCUGCAGCAGCAAAAAUCUUAAUUUCUGAUGUUGCUUUUGGAAAGGUCCAAAACUUGGAACCACCACAUUAAAAGAAACAGCUGCCGCCUCUGUGCCUUCCUCAUCGAUGGAACAUCUCCUUCAGCUCCAUGGGUUCUUCCAUGAAUGGAAACUUCGUCAAGGGUAUACGAGAACUUGAAUUUUGGCAUACAUUUUUCUAGGAGAUUUUGCAAACCAUCUUUCUUGUAUGGGGAGGAUAAUUUGCAUAGAAAAUUUCUUCUUGUGGUCUUCCUUGCUUUGUUGAUAUGGGAUUUCUAGGACUUCGAUGUCAAAGAAGGAAUUGUACGCAUUUGAUCCUGAACUAGUCACCAAGUGAAGCAUAGUGAAGUUCCCAUUGAGAAGGAAAAAUGACCUCUGCUGACUGUGUUUAGGAUCAAAUUUGUUUUUCCAUGGUCCUUCUACAUAAAGUGCAUUUUCGGGUUAGGAGGCCGCGAUGAACAGCACCUUGGAUUGGGCCGUCGAUUUUGAACGCAGCCCCUCCAUUUAAAUUAGCUAUUUUUUAAACUAUUUUUAAAAUAUUUUACUAUAACAGCAUAAAAAUUUUUACUAUAGAUGUUUUUUGAAAUAUUUAAUAUAUUGUAUGAAUAAAAUAUUUUUUGAAUUAUUUUUAUUUGUAUAUUACUGUAACAUUAUAUUUAAAAAAACUUAUUUUUGAAAAAUAGGUCAAUCCAAGCUGACGUGCUGUGUUAGUAGUAGUAUAUAUUAAAAAGAUCAAUUCUCUUUUCUGACCUCAAGAGUUUGCUAAAGAAGAGUAUCUCCAAGGACUAAUCACAAUCUUGUACUGUACAAGUCAAGCAUCAUCUAUCUUGUAGGAAGCACAACUUUGAUGGUCUCAACAUAAACAUUCUCUUGAACGUUGCAGUUGUGUGACAUGCAUGGUACUCUUUUAUUGUGAAAU